rnacentral:lncRNA from 1 species
UUUUUUUUUUUUUUUUUUUAUUGGGAAAGCAAGAAUCAAUGUUGCUUAAUUAUGUAACUAGUACUGGUUAGGGUUGGAGAAAGCUGAUACAAGUGUUCGGUUUAUAGGCAAAUUUGUGAAUUGGGUCUUGGCGGAACUUAUCUUUCAUAUUUUAGUUUUAUUCUUUUUUAUUUUCUUGAGAAGAUAUUUCUACUGGUAUUCCCUUCUUUUUCGUUAUUCUUGGGACUAUUAGUGAUUUAAAUCUUUAAUAUUACGUAAAAAUGUAUGUGCUUCUUUAAAUGUUGGUGAGAUAUACAGAUUUUGCAGUUAAAAUUUUGAUUUUGAUUUUUUUUUGGGUUAAAGAUGCAGUAGAAAUCAAAGAACAAUCCUAUUUAUGGGACAAAGCAGAAAAUGGAAAAGGAGACAUGAAAAAAGGAACCAGGGGGGGGGUGGGGCGGGAGGGUGGAAGGUAACUGUAGAUGAUCUGCUUCGAUAAAAGAAAAUAUACCCUCGAAAUAGGAUUAGGUCGUUUUUAUGAAUUUCCAGUGAAACCAACACUUGUGCAUUCCCCCUGUUGUUUAUUUGUCUGACAUAAACUAGAGGUGUCUUUUGAUUCUGCAAUUUUCUUCAUUUAUUAUUCACGCUCUUUGUUUCCUGUAAUGGUCCUUUAUUUGCAUGCCCAAGGACGAGCACUAGGCAUUAAAUGGGCAAUUGAUACUUCAGAAAAUGUAUAGUCCUAAGACCUGAGAGAUCCUGUAGAUUAUAGGGCUUGUUUGGAAGUCCAAGUUUUUACCAAGUUUUUAUUAUACUAGUUUUUUAACAACUUGUGCUACAGGAACCUCAAAAACUUAUCAAAAUUUUUUAACCUACACACUUAAAAUAUCCAAAACACAAAAAAAAAACUCCCUUCCCCUUUUCUUCUUCUUCCUCCCCCACCACUACCUCCGUCAACUGCUCCGUCACCGGCCACCACCUCCGCCACCGGUUCCAGUGCCGAUCACCUUUUCCGGUGCCAAUUUUUUUUUUCCUUUUUCCCUCUCCCUUUUUUUUUUUUUUUCCCUCUUCCCCCGCAAGUUUUUUUUUCUCUCUGCGUCUCCCCCCUUCUCCCCCACCACCCUUCCCCUUCCCCUCUGGCUGAUCUGGUCGCGAGACCAGAUCGCACCGAGGGAGGGUGAGGGUGGCGGGGAAAGGGAGGACAGAGGGAAAGGGGGGCUUUGCCCAAAAAAAAAAAUUAACGGGUGGCGGGAUUCAGGGGUGGUAAACGGGAAGGGGAAUAGGGGAGGGGGAAGGGGCCAAGGGGGUGACGGGAGGAGGGGGAAGGUGGCGAGGGGGUGGCGGGGCAGUGAGGGUGGCGGGGUAGAGGGGAAGGUGGGCCUGGUUGGAAGUUGCGGGGGGAGGGGGUGGCGGAGGAAGGGCAGAGGGGAGGGCAGAGGGAAGGGGUGGCGGGGGGAGGGAGAAAGCCGGCAGAGGGGGAGAAGCAAAGCAGGGGGAAGGAGGGGGGAGGGAGUGGCGGGGAAGAGGGGAUGGCCGAAAGCAGGGGGAAGCGGGGUGAGGGGAUGGCGGGGGAAGGGGGAAGGCGGGCAGAGGGGGUGGCGGAGGAAGGGGGUGGCAGGGCAGAGGGGGAGAAGCAAAGCAGGGGGUAGCGGGAGGUGGCACUGCUGGAGGCAGAGGUAACGGGGAAGAAGAAGAAGAAGAAGAAGAAAGAAAAGAGAAAGGAAAGAAAGAAAAAGAAAAAGAAAAGAAAGAAAAAAAAAGAAAAGAAAAAAAGUUUUUAACCCUACAAAAACUUCUACAAAAUUUUUCUCUUUACAAAAAACUUCUACAAAAUUUUUCAAAAACUUCUACAGUGCACUACAGUAAAGUUUUAGACAAACUCCCAAAAACUAGGGUUCCAAACAGGCCCAUAGUUUUUGGGGUUUUGUAGCCUUUAUAGGAUAUAAUUUCUUAAUGGAUUUAGUUAUUGACUGGAGUGUUCUUUUUUAGGUGGUGCAUCUCUACAAGAGGAAGUGGGUUGAUGAAGCAACCUAUCCACGGUUCACUAUGAUUGGACAAAGUCUUGGUUCAGUUUACCUCUCAUGGGAAGCUUUAUGCAAGUUUACUCCUUUGUAUUAUUUUGAUACCUGUGGCUAUGCCUUUACUUAUCCAGUUGCCAGGGUAUUUGGAUGUAAAGUGAUUUGCUAUACACAUUAUCCAACUAUCAGUUUGGACAUGCUAUCUCGUGUUCAUGGACGGAAUUCUAUGUACAAUAAUGACACACUGAUAGCUAAGAGGUAUGCAUGGUGAUUUAUCAUGCACAUGAAACAUCUGAUUAAGAGAUUUGGUGUUAUUAUUUAUUUCUUUUAUGGUUCUUGAAUAACAAGAUAGGCAUUUGCUACUGAAAUGUGUUGUAGUUCUUGUUGAGAAAUAUUUAGGUAAUUUGCUUGUAGUUUUCAACUUGAUCUUGUCAAAAGUGUGUCAUCUGUCUUGCUCCUUUUUAUAGUUAUUUCGUUUAGCUAAAGAUUAAAAUGAUAGGAAGGAAAACACAAUUUUUGUUUUUCAUUUUCUAAUUUGUUGGAAUCAGAUUGAAUUCCAAUUUGCUCAUUACACUAGUGGCUUUAGUCUUCACUAGAACCAAAAUGACAUUCAUUCUCCUUCGGAAUUGUUUGGAGAUAAGUCUCAAUUUUUUCUUGCCUCUCCAGGUUUUGAAUAUUGGUUUUCAUGUGGAUCCUUUAGAGAGUUCAUACUUCAAUUGUUUACGAUGUUUUUUUCUGUCCUUGAUCAUAUCUUGUUUGAAUUGUACAUCUUUCCUGUCUUGUUUAUGAAAGUUAUCCAUGGAUCCUUGUAUCUUGAUCAUGAAGCACCUCUAAAUUUCUUUGAUAACAGUUCCUUUCUAUCCCAUUGCAAAGUCAUAUACUACAUGCUUUUUAGCUGGAUGUAUGGCAUUGUUGGCUCAUAUGCACACCUUGCAAUGGUGAAUUCUUCAUGGACAAAGUCUCAUAUUGAAAAGCUUUGGGGAAUUCCAGAUCGCAUUCGGCGUGUUUACCCUCCUGUGACACUUCAGGGCUUCAGGUUUUGCUUUGAUUAGUUUAUCCUCUUCAUGGUGCUUUGGGUGGCCCUUUAAUUUAGUUGUUGACUAUUUGUUCUUGUAAACAAUUUAAACUAUAUGGGUAUUAUGUUACUUGGCUAAACCACUCUUCAGGCCUUCCGUCUUUGUGUAAUGUCUGUUGGUUUGUGGUAGGGCCAUUUGACAUUCUGAUUUCUGUUAGUUGAAAAUACAGAUGCUUUUUUUGUUUUUAUCAUUGGGAAGGAUGUUAGUAUCAAAGUUUAAGCCCCCCCCUCUCUCUUUCCGGGGGCCCCUUCUUCCUCCCAUGAAAUUGCAAACUCAAAUUUUCAUCUUUGCUAGUUAUAUUUUUUCUUAAAAAUAUUCUUGCUUAAUUGUAUACAUCUCUCUCUCUCUCUCUCUGGGGCUCUGUGUCCUUUGUUACCAACUACAGAGAUCAGAAUGGAUGUUAUACAGUAAUCAGAAACUAAAAUCUCCUAAAUAGGCUUCUGGUGGUGUGGCUUUAGACGAUUCAAUUUGUGGUAUAUUGUGGUUUUGCAAAUUAAUAAAUUUGACACCUCAUAUAAAUGUUAUAAAUUUCCUUACUGUGUUGUCUGUCUGUUUCUCCUGGAAAUAGUUGGUGUGAUAAUCAUAACUACUUUGGAAGCUAAGCUUUAUGCCUUGUUAAGGAUGGAAAGGAAAGAAGUGAAAUAUUUUUGAUCCAAUAUUGAAGGAUAAAAAACUCAGAAAGGGCUGCAUGGUCUUAGCUCUGUUGUUCGAUAUCAUUUUGCUGCUUAUAUUCUGCUGAUUUCUGUACAUAACUGCCUGCAAAGCUAUUGUCAUUAGUGGGAAGUGCCUUGCCAACAUUUACAUUGAUCAAAAUUUCUGCUAGUAACUAGAUACAGAUAUUAACCUAAUUUAUAUGAACAGGCACUUCCAUUGGAGAGGCCUAUGACACCACCCAAGAUUAUUUCUGUGUCUCAAUUUCGGCCAGAGAAGGUGGGGAUUUUUAUAAUAAAAAUGAAAAGUAUUUGAACUCUAGCAGUUACUUUGUACCUCAGGCCAGUCAUGGUCUCUGUGAGUUAUCCUUAAGUUACUUCUUUGGGCCAGGCACAUCCUAUUCAGCUGGAGGCAUUUGCUGUUGCCAUUACAAAGUUGGAUUUAAAUCUUCCAAGGCCCAAACUUCAGCUUGUGGGUAGUUGUAGAAAUGAAGCAGAUGAGAGAAGGUUGCAAGAGUUGCAGGACCUAGCUGUUGAAUUAAAGGUGGCAGAUGAUGUGGAGUUUCAUAAGAAUGUGAUGUAUAGGUUUGUGCAUUUUAACGAUUGCUCAGCAUUGUAUUUGAUACCAGACCUCGUAAGAAAGUAUCAAAACAAGAGAUAAUCUGAAAUUAGGUAUUGAUUCUAUUUCAUUUUAAGAAAGGAUUCAGGAAAAAAGAGAUUUUCUUAUGAUCUGUGAAUGACCAUGCACUAUGUAGACAUUGAAUUCUGUUCUCUUUCUGCUUACUGAAUCUUAUAAGCGUUUGGUUGUAUCCUUUCCAUUCAGCAUAUGGCUAGGGGUUCAUUAAAUUGUAGUUCUUGAUGCCUACUUUAGCUUUAUGUUUGCGUAGUUCCUACACGUUAGCUUUUUAAUUUUGCUGUGCAUCAUUUUUUCCACUUUUUUUUUUUGGCAAUGAGAGAGUCUUAAUUCAUUUCUCUAUUUGAUUAAUAUUGCAGUGAUUUGGUUAAGCUUUUGGGUGGUGCGGUUGCAGGAAUUCAUUCCAUGAUAGAUGAGCAUUUUGGAAUAUGUGUUGUGGAGUACAUGGGCGCUGGGGCUGUACCAAUAGGUCGGUUGGCUCUUUACACAGUAGUUAUGCCUUCUCUUUAUCUACUUAAAACCUGGAGGUGGGUGUGAAUUUAACUUCUUUGCUUUUGGAUUGCUCAGCCCAUAAUUCGGCUGGCCCCAAGAUGGAUAUUGUGUCGGCAGAAGAUGGGGAACAAACUGGAUUCCUUGCCGAAAAUGUGCAAGAAUAUGCAGAGGCCAUUUGCAAGGUCAUUGUGAUGCCUGAAUCCAAGAGAUGUGUCAUGGCAGCAGCUGCAAGGAGAAGGGCCUCAAGGUUCUCAGAGGAUAGAUUUUUCGAGGACUUUAGAGCUGCUAUCAGACCUAUCUUAUGCAAAACUUCAAGAUGAUACAAAUACAAUUUUGUUAAUGGAUGCCUAUUACCCGUUUAGUUUAGUGUUCAAAUGAGAAAUGUAUGAAAAUCGUCUUGGGCUAAUGUACUCUUUCCCUUCUUCCCUCCCUAACAUUAACACAGAGAUUUGACACAUCAUUUAUGUCCCUGAUGGAAAUUUUAGAAGGGAAUUUUUGUUAGGACUUGAUGCUGAGCAAUUGUAGAAAAUUGUAGCAUGGAAUUUGAGUGGUUGGAUCAUUUUGUCAUGGUUGCGGUUGUUCGGCUUUCUCGUUGCCAUUAGCAGAUGUUUACAGCUUAGUUUUCCCAUUUUAAUGGAUGAAACCAAACACACAUUAAGAGGUGAACUCUGAGCUCCGAGAUGAUAAAAGAACAGCUUCUGUUUCCUUCUUUGUUAUUGAUGUUAUUGGUUAUGCUGUUCCUAAGAGUGAGCGGAUUUGUCUCAAAGAGGCUUCCAAGCCUUUUGUCAUGAUACUCAGUGUCUGAAAUCAAUAUCUGAUAUCUAUCUUGUGGGCAGGAAAAUCACACAAAGGAACGUUUGUCAAAACUAAGAACGUCUAUUGUUUAUAAGGAUUGCAGUAAGAUUUCUAACUAUUAUGUUGGAAAAGCAUCCUGUUGCAAAAUCUGCAUGCAUGGUAGCCAUAAAUAAGUGCUAUACCCCAGACAUGCCAUUGUGACACAACAUCGUCAUUAAAAUAGGUACAUAUAACAGGAUGCAUUUCAUCUUUAUAAUGACCAAGACACAAGCAACACAUUCCCAACCCCCCAGUAUUCGCCCUCAUAAAACAAGCUGUGCAAUAAAAAACAUUCAUCUCAUAGAGAAUUGGCAAUGCUUUAAGACACAUCUAAGCAGAUACUAGAUAGGAGAAGAAUCACAAACAAUCUAUUGCAGAGUCAAUACGCAUAAUGUACAAACAACUAGGGAAGUUUGAAAAUCCCCACUUUACAUAAUCAGCUUGUUAAAAAGACACAAUCGUCUAAAACUAAGUUCUAAAGUCUCUAAAAUUUACUCCCUGCUUAAGUGGCAGUGCAUUUCCGUUAUAACUUCAAAGGAGAAAUUUGGGAUGAAAACACUCCAAGAGCCUGAAUGCAUUUAAAGAUUCAACUAUAUUGGUUCUUCCCAAGCUUGGAGAAGUUAGGCAGGUGACUGCAACAUAUGAAAUAUGUGCAAGAAGCAUCCCCUAAUUGAAGAAAAGCCCCCAGAAACUUCAAUGUUUAUGUAAUCCUACACGGAAAUUUGAAAUAGGAAAAGAGAAUCAGUAGAAAACAUCUGAUAUCAUCAGCUUUUACAACAUAACUACAACAAAUGCAGGCAACAUACAAGGGGUGCAAAACAAGAAUGCAAAUUCUUCCUCCUCAAUGUUGUGUUCAGAAAUAAUUUCAAAGCUUUACCAAGCACCUGCCUGCAGUACCUUUUUUUUUUUAAAUUAACUUUUUAGCACCAUGUAGCUCUUACAUAAGAUUCUGCCUUUAGAAAGGGAGAAAAAAUUUCCUACAAAACAUGAUUGAGGACCAAAUUACACCAAUUAAAAAACUUAAAGAGUUAAGCCGGCCUAAAAGUUCCAAAAUGUCCUAAAGAAAAGACACACUAAUACACGUCUAAAAUGGAACAUCCUGGAAGUGAGUUGUUGGAAAACAGAACAGUAUUCAAUCCCAAUCAAAAAAAUCAUACAAAUCAAACUCAAAGGUGGGAGAGUGAGAAUAGGGGCUACUAGAGGCGGUUGUGGGAGUAAGGACAUUCAUUGGGUAAUGUGGUGGGUUAACCAGAGAAAGUGGGCUGCAGCACUGGCAAUUGUAGGAGAGUGGCAGAAGUUACUAGUCAGGUUCACAGGAAGGGGAUGGAUUGCAGUUCUACUUGGAAGUAGUAAAGCUAACUAUUUUUAACAAUUAGGAUAGAGUAUGGUGAUUGAUCUUUUGUCAUUAAAUAAGGCUGAGCAAAUGUGUUUCAAGUUUUGGAGGAAUUUCGAGGGCCAAAGAAUUCGCCUCUAAAUAUUUCUUCCCUGAAUAAGCUCACUUGCCUACAUUCUAUUUAUCCUGAAUAUCAAGUACUAUUGGACCGGUAUCAAACAUUCAGUGUCUUUCCUGUUGUUCACAGGGAAUCAGUAGAAUUUCAUCAAUUCCAACCUAUUUUGUAAUUAAUCUCUAGGUCAAGCUCCACACAUCCACAAUAUGACAUAUAUCUCAUUUUACUUACAGAAACCUUAGGAUUUUUCAAAAUCACCAAAAUCACCUUCCCCCAUAAAUGGUGCACUGAUUUUGGUUGAAAUAUCAUUAAUAAAGGAACUAAUCUUCUUGCUAAUAAUCGAUGUGACAUUAAAUCACCAAAUUACAAUUGAUGUGUGACAUAGAACCAUACAUUUUGGCAUAACCAAGAAUUUCAAUGAUAUAGCCCACAUAAUCUUUUUAGCGAAAUUGCAUAAAGAUAAGGCUAGCUGUAAUUGUUUUACUACCUUAUUUUCUAGUUUCGUUCUCAUUCCAAUGAUUUGUUUUCUCAAUAAAUACUCUUGUACUAGAGUAGUCAGGAUGAAUCAAUCAAAAAAUAUUGAAUUUUACGAAGUUCUUAUGUGUAGUACACUCAAGCCGUUUCUCUAGUUCCCUGAGGAACAAUUUUGGAGAAGACUGAUGGCUUCCAACAUGUUGUCGCCAGCAUUAACAAUAAACACUACAAUGUUCCAAUGCAGCUGCCACUUCAAUAAGAAGACAAUAUUUAGGGCCAUCUCUCAUUAGAUUUGUCACAGAUCAUAUUUCAGUCAAUUCAUUUACAUAACCAAAUUCAGUGUUACCAAGACUGCUAUAAUCUGCUAGGGGUUCUUAAGAAAGUGCUUAGUCAAAAGUGUUGCUUAAUCUCUACAAAACUUAAGUGCUUCUAAAAUGAUGUUGACAACUAUUAAGCACUUCAGUAGUCACUAAUCAUGGCUCCAAGCAAUUUUAGACACAAUUUAACUUUUUGUUGUCAUCAUAUGCAAACAUUUUGUUAUCAAUCCCCGCAACCCCAGUCACCACUUGAUAAUGCCAUUUUGACAAUUCUAGGCAACUUCAUGAAAUCAACAAUAGUUUACUAAUCCACCAAUGUGAGUAAGGGUUUUAAAAAAAAAAUCAGCCUAUUUUAGAACCACAAUACAAUAAGCUCACAUAGAAAAAUAUCUCUGCAAGCUUAAAAGACUCUAUGAUUUAGACAGAAGGGCAAGAUUGAGAGAGUUUAUAGAAAUGUUGCUUGUGCAUUAUUGUAGAAGAAGGACCUACAGUAGUCUUUGGGAGCGAAAUGAGAAAAUAGAAAAAUUUUAAAAAAAAAACUCAAUGUAGAUUCGGUCCUCUUAUUAAGAGAGACAUUUUUAAUUUUAGUACUCACACCCAAAAGCUGUUAAUGAUCCACCUAAAUAAGACAUCAUAAUAUGAAGGAACUUGGCCGUAAAACUUGUAAGUUUAGCAGUUUCAUUGAUAAUAGACUAAAUAAGGUGGUGCUGGAAAACGGAGUGGAAUAGCAAAAUCAGAUUCUACAAAAGGAAUUUUCUUAACCUUCUCCAAUCACCUGUAUCAAUACAAUAGGGCAUAGAAUUGGGGCAAGCAAACAGGGCUAUUUUCAAACAAAGCUAGAAUUGGCAUUCAGCAAUUUUUAGUUCUGGAUUCUUGUAGCACUUAAUGUCAUCCUUAGUCUUUUUGGCUUAUGAAUUCUUUCUCCAUAAAAGUCAGAAUCACAUACAUUCAAUAUUCCCCAGUCGAGUAGCUUUUAAAACAUUGCAAGCUUACUAUACAAGCACUGUGAUUCAAAAACUCAAAGGUGAAUAAACCAUCUUUCAGAUUUUGCAUAAUUUGCUGUAUGAUUGCAUUAUUUUUCAGUUGAGAUUCUUAAAGGGCGUCAAAGAAAAUCUAAGAUAUCAUGAUUUCUCUGGUUACUUUUUGGUUUCUCUUCUUGCUUUUUCAUAAGUUCUUGAAAUACACUGCUCUGAGAACUCCUAAAUUCAAAUUUAGAAGCUUUCCUGCAUCAUUGUUUUAUUAGAAUAUACAUUUCCUAAAGAUGCUAUUGGGUCCAAUUUCAUCAAUUCUACAUUCAUGAAGGAUGAACUUGGUCUUCUUACCAGCAAGAUCCUUUAAAAGUACAAUUGAAUAAACUCCUAAUUUAGAUUAGAAUAUCUAAAUCAGAAUAACAGGAAAAGCAGUCAUUGAAGCACAAAACUAAAGUAUGAACAAAAAACAGCGGUCAUCAUGUAGAAAAUUCAUGUUGAAACUUGGAGCAAGGCUAUCAGAGGUGAAAGUGUACCACACUCAAAAAUAUUAGACAACCAAAAAAAAAAAAGGCAAAGCAAUGCAGAAAAGACGAACUCAUACCCUACCAGAAUAUCUAAAUUAGAAUAACAGGAAAAGCAGUCACUGAAGCACAAAACUAAAGUAUGAACAAAAAACAGCAGUCCUCAUGUAGAAAACUCAUGUUGAAAGUUGGAGUAAGGCUAUCAGAGGUGAAAGUGUACCACACUCAAAAAUAUUAGACGACAAAAAAAAAAAAGGCAAAGUAAAGCAGAAAAAACGAACUCAAACCCUACCAGAAUGUCAGAAUGUCAGUUGGCAUGUUGGCCAUCAUCAUCUGAAUCAUCAAUGAGUACAGGUUCAUUUCUAUCAGUUCUACAGUCACCAAAAAGCUCAUCUAUCUCUGCAUCUGAAUCCUCAAGUUGUACAGGACCCUUUAAACUGCCUUUAUUAUCACCAAGAGCUCACGAGCUGCCUUCUCAAGGAAUUCUUUGGCAGCAGUUUGAACAGGUUGCUUCUCUGGUGACCCAUAUUUUCUCUUCUUAUGCACACUUCUUUCAGAAUGCUUUAUUGUAGUACCCUGUCUUCUACUAAUCUCCCUCAUGCUUUGCUUCUGCUCUGCAGAAUUAAUCUAUUUUUCAAAGCCAAAUUAAAUGAUAGAAUUAAUCCAAUAAACCAACUGAGCACCUACCCCUGGUGAGAUCAGGCAAAGAAUGGUCAAUGAAGCGGGUCGCUGCUUGGGCAUUUAUGGUGGCUGAAGGACGCAGUGGCGCUUUGAAGAUGAACAGGGAUUUUAUCAGUGAAUAUAUAUCUCAAUCAGUACAGAGUAAACAUAUUAAAGAUGGUAAAGAAUAAGCAAAAACUUCCAUUUUAAGUUUCAAAGGGAACAUGUUACAACUUCGAAAACACAGAUAAUGUGAAAAACCACUUUCAUAUUGUUCCAAAAUCCAGAUUAAUGUUUCUCAAUAUUAUCUUUAAUGGGACAAACUGAUACAACACCAACAAAGGAGAGCCUUCAAGAAGAGUGGUCCAUACUUUAAAAGAAAGAAAGAAGUUCAUUGAAGACAAGGAAAAAUUUGUUCAAGAUAUAUAUUGCUUGUUCAGCUAAUUCCACAUGAAAUGCGAAAAAGAUUUACUGGAAAGCUACCCACAUAAUUAUUUGCCUUAGCAGAGAAAAUCUGCAUUUUCUUCAUCUCAAAAUGUAACUCACCUUCCAUCUUAAACUUAAAAUCCCUAGAGUAAAUAAAAGGGAUUAUAAGUACCUUUACUCAACUCUAUACACCGCUGAACUUUUUCCUGGUACAAGCUCAACCUCUCCUAUAAACACAAAAAUAAACCCAUAUCUGUGAAAAUGUUACUCGGCAAACAGUCCACAAACUUGAAGUUGAACCAAAAGCAUCACAAAUUGAUAGGGAUAUAUACCAUAAGGCUGUAAACAACAACAAAGUCAAAAAGAAUGAAAAAGCAACAUCAAUCAAAACAUCACACAAAAUAACCUAUCAUUGCACAACCGAAAUUGCUAGCAUAACUGCUUAAAUGAGAAAGGAUUAGGUUAACAUAGCCCUAAGGCCCUUGACCCUGCAAGCUACAAAGGCAAUUUCUGGUUAAUCACCCUGUUACCUUGAGCACGAUGAAACAUCCUUGUAACAAUUAACAAUUAAAACACGCAUGCAAGAAUAAAUCAGGGUCAACCCUCAACCCACAUUUCUAAGGAAUAUUAUUCCCAAUCACAAAGCAACAUAAAGGCCCUUAAGCCUGCAAGCUACAAAGGCAAUUUCUGGUUAAUCACCCUGCUACCUUGAACAAAUGAAACAUCCGUGUAACAAUUAACAAUUAAAACACACACGCAAGAAUAAAUCAGGGUCAAACCCUCAAUCUACAUUUCUAAGGAAUAUUAUUCCCAAUCACAAGGCACAGAUUUUAAACAGAAGUGGCCCCUUAAUCACCUAAUAAACACCCACAAUUAAGUCUGACCCUCGAACAAAAUUCAACAGUCAGGAAUAAAGGCAAGAACCAUUUACCAUUAACCAACAAAUAUACCCAAAAAUUAAACAAAAAUUGAAGAAGAAUAUAAUACAUACAUGCUCUGACUUGACAGCGUGCUCAUCUGGGUUCACUCCAUUGCAUCUCAACCUCACUGCAAAACCACCAAAAAUUUGACAUCAAACUCAAAUUCCAAGAAUUCAAUUAAACAAAACCCACAAAACAAAGAGCAAAAGAAACCAUUUUUCGGCCAGUUUAGACAUACAAGUGAAAAGGGUCGUGGUAAUUUUGGCAAGCAAGAGAAGGGACUGAGCCCUUUCAAGAGGGUUCAUCUGGGACAAGACAUCAUUGUCACAGAGGGACAGGAAAUCGUCAAAAAAGAUCCCAACUUCCUCAAUGUUGAUUGAGGUUCUCUUGACUGCCUCCAUGACUGAUUCUGGUACAAUUCUUGUUCCACCACCAUCAUUUCCACCUUCCAUAGCCGAUUUCUAAGUAGCAAAUUGAUUCUUCGAGGACUCUUGUUACGCUUUAACAACUAUAUGAGAGUGUGUAGAUAUCAGAUGACAGUGCUAACUAGUUGAGGGAUUUGUUGGUUCUUUUGUUUGUUUGUUUUGGGGUUUAGCUGUUUUUGCGGAGGUUGAGGAAUCCAAUUGGAUUUUGGAAAAUCUAGUGACCAGGUUUGGGGCAGUAAAUCUCCCAAUACAUACCUGGGAUAUUUAUGCGGCGGAGGAUACACUUUCACCCCGUAUAGAGCAGAGAGAAGAGCAGAGCGAACUCACAGAAGUUUGACAGCAGAGCAUGCUAAAACCAAAGGCGGCAGAAUAUGAGAAAGAGUGAUGUAAGAGGCAUCGGUUACAUCGUCGGAUAAUUUCACAUGGAGUUAAAUACAAUUCCAUCCUCAUAAUUUGACCAAAGUGCCGCUGGACCCCUGAAUCUCAAGAUGUUGCAAGUGGGCCCUCUGGACUUUUUUUUUUUUGUUUUUGGUAGGGAAGGGUUAAAACUUAAGAAGUGGGGAAGGUGUAGGGAAAUUUGAAUUCAUGAUUUCUAAUUCCGCGUUCUCUUGGCUUGUUGCUAUAAAAUCUAAAAUGAUAUUUUUUAAGUUUAAUUUCAAAUAUAUAGCACCUAUUCAAUUCCCCUUGUAUAGAAGAAUCCUUUCAUUAACAGUAUAAAAUUGAUUAGUUCUUUAUAAAUUACCUCAACUUAUUAUUUUACUAUUUGUUUCUAUAAAUAUUAGUUUUAUCAUCACAAAUGAUCCAUUAAGAUAUAUCGAAGUCUAUGCUUUCAAAUCCAAACUGGGUGCAUUAGAUGAGCUUCUUGUCCACAAUGGUUGUUUAAUCAAUCAAGUCAAGGAUUCAACCUUUUCAUCUAAAAUUUGAAAAUUUUGAAAAAUAAUAUUUAAAUGUAACAAGAAAAAUUCUUAGUGGCUAAUUGAUUCAAUUAUCCAAGGUUUGUAAGCUUUAACAAAUUGAUCUUUAGUCAGAUAUAACCAUUUUUACUUUUUGGGUUUAAUUUAUAAUUGGACUAUUAUCGUGAUUGAAUAUUAGUUUAGUCAAUAAAUUAUUCGAUCAGAUUUAAGUUUUAAAAUACUACAUAAAUCCAUUACAUAUAGUUAGAAUUUAAUAUAACCAUGUUUUAUUAGAAAGCAAUCACAUAAUGGAAUACACAUUGUCGUCUUAUCAAUUUUAAAUUCUUAGAGUAUUAUAUAAAUUUGGUAAAUUUUUUUCCCACUAGGUACGUGAUGUGCUUAUUAUAUAUUAACUCUAAAGAAAAGUACGAGUUUUCACCUUUAAAAAGAAUAUAUUUUUAAAAGAUGAAAAUGGAGAAGAGAAGAAUCAAUUUCAAAUACUUAUAUACGUUUCAAAUAAUUACAAAAAACUGUACUAUGGAAACUAUUCUAAAACCAAUAGAUUUAUGUUAUGAAACAACUAAAAUGUGGAAGUUCCUUUGUAUUCCCAAGAGAAUUAAUUCAUGAUUUAUGGCUAUAUUAUGUAUAGAAGUUACAAUCCAUAAAUCUAUUCAUGUAGUGGAGAAACCAUUUCAUAGGUUUCUUCAUAUUAUUGUAGUAGUGGGUGUUUAAUAAAAUUGAUGUACCUUUAAUCUUGUAAUACCUAUAUAUAGAGGUACAUUGACACCCUUUGGGAUGACUUUUGUAUCUUAUUGGAAUAUAAGAAUAUCACUCUCCAUUUCUCUACUUCUUUCUCCAAUAUUUCACUUGAUAUUAUAGUAGCUUAUUUUAUUAGUUUUAUAACACGUUAUCAGCACGAAAUCUCUACUUUUGAGCAAAAGGUGAAAACGGAGGCUCUAUCUUGAACAAAGGUGAAGCACAAGAUUUUGUCGAAAUUCUGCCCAUAUUUCUUCAAGAAAAUUCUGAGGUAAAUUUCUAACUCAAAAACUUAUUUCAAUUUCUUAUGGGUAAUCUUACAAAACAAGAGUUCAUACCUCUUGAUAUUUCUGGAAAAAAUUAUUUAUCAUGGGUAUUAGAUGUUGAAAUUCAUCUUGAGGCAAUGAGUCUUGGUAAUACUAUUGUGGAAAAAAAUGAAUUCUCAAGCCAAGACCGUGCCAAAGUUAUGAUUUUCCUUCAUCAUCAUUUAGAUGAAGGAUUAAAAAUAGAGUAUCUUACUGUUAAAGAUUCUCUUGUCCUUUGGCGAGAUUUGAAAGAAAGAUUCGACCACCUGAAGUUGGUCGUUCUUCAAAAGCCCGAUAUGAUUGGCUUCACUUACGGCUGCAAGAUUUUAAAUCUGUCAACGAAUAUAAUUCAGUCAUGUUCAGAAUCACUUCUCAAUUAUCAUUAUGUGACGAAAAAGUCACUGAUGAAGAUAUGUUAGAGAAAACAUUUUCUACUUUUAAUAUCUCUAACAUGCUCCUGCAGCAGCAAUAUCGAGAGAAGGGAUUUAAAAAUAUUCUGAACUUAUCGCAUGUCUUCUCUUGACUGAACAAAAUAAUGAAUUAUUGCUGAAAAGCCAUGAGUCCCGACCAACUAGUGCAAGUCCAUUCCCUGAAGCGAAUGCGACCCAGUUUUAAAAUUCUGGUCGAGGUCGUGGACGUGGCCGUGGAGGAGGCCGUGGACGUGGCCGUGGCCGUGAACGUGAUCGUAGUAAAUUUGUGCUCCAUGAAAAUUUUAACCGUGGCAAACAACAAAAUGUUUCCCAAAAAAGGGAAAAUAACUACGAUCAGAAAAUGGAGAAAAGAAAAUUUAUGAAGAAAAAUGCUACCGAUGUGGUAUGGAAGGUCAUUGGUCUCGUACCUGUCGUACGGCUGAAUAUCUUAUUGACCUCUAUCAAGCAUCAUUGAAAAAGAAAGACAAAGGUGUUGAGACAAAUUUCAUUGAUCAAAAGAAUGAUUAUGAUGAUGCUGAUAUGACACACCUCGAUGUAACUGAUUUUUUUGAGCAUCCUGAAGAUGUUAACAAAUAUCCCAUGAUUAUUUAGAUAUUUUUAUGAUACUUUAUAUCUUUCAUAUAAUUUCCUUUCCAUUGAAUAUUUAUUUUCGCAUCUUUAUUAAUAUUUAUUUUUAUUUAAAAUUUUCUUCCUGAAGAAGAAAUAGAUGUCAAAUAUUUGGGAUUAAAUAAUGGUGAUGAUAAUAUUUGUCUCAUUAAUAGUGCUACUACGCACACCAUAUUGAAAAAUAAAAAAUAUUUUUUUUGUUUGAAAAUGAGAGAAACAAACGUUAAUACCAUUAGUGGUAGUGCAAAAUUGAUUGAAGGCUCCGGAAGAGCCACUAUAUUUCUCCCUGGAGGGACUAAAAUUAUUGUAAAUAAUGCACUAUUCUCUCCCAAGUCUCGAAGAAACUUAUUGAGUUUUAAAGAUAUCCACGAAAAUGGAUAUCAUAUCGAGACAAUGACUGAGACAAAUGGUGAAUUUUUAUUAAUCACAAGUAUCAUUUCUGAAAAAAAUGCGUAGUAGAAAAAUUAUCUUCUUUUUCUUCUGGGUUAUAUUAUGCACAAAUUAGUGCAAUUGAAAUUCAUCACCUAGUAGACCAGAAGUCUACUCUUCCUAAUGAUUUUAUGGUUUGGCAUAAUUGUCUCAGACAUCCCGGAUCUAUAAUGAUGAGACGAAUAAUUGAGAAUUCACAUGACCACUCAUUGAAAAAUCAAAAAGUAUUAACAGUCAAUGAAUUCUCUUGUGUUGCUUGUUCUUAAGGGAAAUUAAUUAUUAGACCAUCACAAGUUAAAGUUGGGACUGAAUCCCCUGCAUUUCUAAAACGAAUUCAUGGUGAUAUAUGUGGGCCUGUAGAUCCACCAUGUAGACCAUUUCGAUAUUUUAUGGUGCUAAUUGAUGCAUCAACUAAAUGGUCACAUGUAUGUUUAUUAUCUACUCGUAACUUGGCAUUUGCGAGAUUGCUUGCUCAAAUAAUUAAAUUACGAGCACAAUUUUCAGAUUACCCAAUAAAGAAAAUUCAUCUAGAUAAUGCUGGUGAAUAUUCGUCACAUGCUUUUGACGAUUAUUGUAUGUCCAUUGGAAUAACUGUUGAACAUUCUGUAGCUUAUGUUCACGCACAAAAUAGUCUAGCUGAAUCACUUAUUAAACGGUUACAAUUAAUUGCUAGACCAUUGUUGAUGAGGUCUAAACUUCCUUUACUUGUUUGGGGACAUGCUAUUUUACAUGCAGCAACACUUGUGAGAAUUAGACUGACAAGUUAUCAUACUUAUUCUCCCCUACAAUUAACUUUUGGUUAUGAACCCAAUAUUUCUCAUUUACGAAUAUUUGGUUGUGCGGUGUAUGUCCCAAUUGCACCGCCCCAACGUCAUAAAUUGGGCCCCCAAAGAAGAUUGGAGAUAUAUGUCGGAUAUGAAUCACCUUCAAUCAUUAAAUAUAUGGAACCAUUAACAGGUGAUUUAUUUACUGCGAGAUCUGCAGAUUGCCAUUUUGAUGAAUCACAUUUUCCGACAUUAGGGGGAGAUAAAAAUCAACCUAAAAAGGAAAUCACUUGAAAAAAAUCGUUGAAUUUCCUUGAUCCUCGUACUAUAGAAUGUGAACUAGAAGUUCAAAGGAUUAUACAUUUGCAAAAAAUUGCAAAUCAAUUACCGGAUGCAUUUAAUGACUCCAGAAGAGUUACUAAAUCACAUAUUCCUGCUAAAAAUGCUCCGAUUAAAAUUGAUGUCCCUGAAGGACAAAUUACAAGUGCUAAUGAGUUUAAAGCAUGCUUGAAGCGUGGGAGACCUCUUGGUUCCAAAGAUAAAAAUCCUCGAAAGAAAAAAGGAGUAGAUGAAUCAACAAUUAGUGACAAAAUUCAACCUCCUGAAGAGGUCGCUCCUACAAAUCCAAUUCUUGAAGAGAAUGAAAUUAUAGAAAAUUCAAUAAAUUUUGUCAUUUCAAAAAAAAGUUGGAACCGAAAAGAAAUAAUUAUUGAUAGUAUUUUCGCAUAUAAUGUAGCACUUGAUAUUAUGGCAGAGGACGAGGAUCAUGAGCCUAGAUCGGUUGAUGAAUGUCGAGGUAGAAAUGAUUGACCAAAAUGGAAAGAUACGAUCCAAUCUGAAUUGGACUCACUGGCUAAAAGAAAAGUUUUUGGACCUAUAGUCCAAACACCUAAAGGUGUAAAACUAGUAGGAUAUAAAUGGGUAUUUGUGAGAAAAAGAAAUGAGAAAAAUGAAAUUGUGAGGUAUAAAACAAGACUUGUAGCUCAAAGAUUUUCACAAAGGCCUGGAUUUGAUUAUGAUGAAACGUAUUCACCUGUAGUGGAUGCUAUCACAUUUAGAUAUCUUGUAUGUUUUGCAGUACAUGAAAAAUUAGAUAUGUGUCUAAUGGACGUCGUUAUUGCAUAUUUAUAUGGGAAUCUUGAAAAUGAUAUUUAUAUGAGAAUCCCCGAAAAGUUCAAUAUGCCUGAAGCAUGCAAAUCAAAUCUUAAAAAUAUUUAUUCUAUUAAAUUACAAAGGUCUCUGUAUGGGUUUAAACAAUCUGAACGUAUGUGGUAUAACCGCUUCAAUGAAUGUUUAACUAAAGAAGGUUAUACAAAUGAUCCAAUAUGUCCAUGUAUUUUUAUCAAGAAAAAUGGAUCAAAUUUUGUGAUAAUUGCUGUAUAUGUUGAUGAUCUAAAUUUGAUUGGAACUCCUGAAGAGAUUCAAAAUAGUGUUGAAUAUUUGAAGAAAGAAUUUGAGAUCAAAAUUUUGUAAAGACAAAAUUCUGCCUUGGUUUGCAAAUUGAGCAUUUGAAAGGUGGAAUUUUUGUCCACCAAACUGCUUAUACCCAGUAGGUAUUAAAGCGAUUUUAUAUGGAUAAAACACAUACAUUAAGUACCCCAAUGAUCGUCAGAUCAUUAGAUCCUAAUAAAGAUCCUUUUAGACUAUGAGAGGAAAAUGAAAAUAUACUUGAUCCUGAAGUACCAUAUCUCAGUGCAAUUGGUGCACUAAUGUAUCUUGCUAAUUGUACAAGACCGGAUAUAUCAUUUGCAGUGAAUUUAUUAGCAAGAUUUAGUUCCUCACCCACAAGACGACAUUGGAAUGGCAUUAAACAUAUUUUUCGCUAUCUCCAAGGAACAAUUGAUUUGGUUUAUUUUAUUCAAAUAAAUCCAAAUCCGAAUUGGUUGGUUAUGCUGAUGCUGGGUAUUUAUCUGACCCGCAUAAAGCAAGAUUUCAGACUGGCUAUCUAUUUACAUAUGGAGGUACAACCAUUUCUUGGCAAUCUACAAAACAAUCAUUAGCCGCCACUUCAUCGAAUCAUGCUGAAAUAAUAGCAAUUCAUGAAGCCAGUCGAGAAUGUGUUUGGUUAAGAUCAAUGACCCACUAUAUUCGAAAGAGUUGUGGGUUAUCCUCCGAAAAAGAAAAUCCUCCAACUAUAUUAUAUGAAGAUAAUACAGCUUGUAUAGCCCAAUUGAAAGGAGGAUAUAUUAAAAGAGAUAGGACAAAGCAUAUUUCACCAAAAAAAUUUUUACUCAUGAUUUGCAAAAGAAUGGUGAAAUUGAUGUGUAACAAAUCCGAUCAGAUAAUAAUUUGGCGGAUUUAUUUACCAAGGCAUUCCAACUGCAACAUUUGAGAAAUUGGUGAAGAGUAUUGGAAUGCGACGAUUAAAAGAUCUCAAAUGAUAUUUGCAUCAGGGGGAGAAAUUAAUACACAAGAAUAGUGUACUCUUUUUCCUUCACUAGGAUUUUUGUCCCGAUGGGUUUUUCUCUAGUAAGGUUUUAACGAUGCAUAUUCUUUGUGUAGUAGACAUCCAAGGGGGAGUGCUAUGAAACAACUAAAAUGUGAAUGUCCCUUUGUAUUUCCAAGAGAAUUAAUUCAUGAUUUAUGACUAUAUUAUGUAUAGAAGUUACAAUCCAUAAAUCUAUUCAUGUAGUGGAGAAACCGUUUCAUAGGUUUCUUCAUAUUAUUGUAGUAGUGGGUGUUUAAUAGAAUUGAUGUACCUUUAAUCUUGUAGUACCUAUAUAUAGAGGUACAUUGACACCCUUUGGGAUGACUUUUGUAUCUUAUUGGAAUAUAAGAAUAUCACUCUCCAUUUCUUUACUUCUUUCUCUACUUCUUUCUCCAAUAUUUCACUUGAUAUUAUAGUAGGUUAUUUUAUUAGUUUUAUAACAAUUUAUAACAUAAUAAAAUAUGAAAAAGGCUAAAGAAUCUAUGCAAAAAAUUUCAUUUAGGAUGUACUCAUAUACAAUUAAUUAUCACUAGAAAUAAUCCAACAUGAUUUGACAUGUAAUUCAUUAUUAAUACUAUAUUAGUUAUACGUAUAAUGUUUAAGAAAAAGCAAGUAGUAACAUAUUUGGAAAAAAUAUAAAAAAUAUAAAAAAAAAAUACGAGUUUACAAGAAGUUAAUCCAUCCAUAUUUUGAAAUUUAUGAAACUAUUUUGUUUGUCGCUUUGUUGUCAAAAUUAGUAACAUAAUGCGUUCGUAGUCUUGCCAUCACUUCAUGUAUGCAAUUACUUUUCUUUCAAAAAUUUUUGCACACAAUUGUAUUGAUAAUAUUUAUUAUUCUGUUGCCAUAAUAUAGAAAUUAUAUAUUUCAUAUGUUACACUUUUUAAGUUUUGAAUUUUCAUUUCAUCCAUGGACCGCAAUCAAUGGGGCAUAGUUGGACAACUCCAUUUUACGUUCUUAACCUAUCACUAUUAGUACGUGGGUCCUAUGCUAUAUGCUAGUUGAUGGCUAAAAAACAGUUCGAACACCCAUUUGUUUUCCUUAUGGUUAAAUGUAAAACCCCCUCCCUCCCAAUGAACUUUUAUAGCUGUUGCACAAUAUACCCCAAAAGUAUGUUUAUAGACACUUUGUACCUUAAGAAAAUUGUCGUUCACAGAUUUAACAAUGAAACAAAGCGUGCGUCUCACAAACUCUAUUCAUUGAAAUUUCCUGGUAAAAUUGCCCCUCCUUCCAAACGACUAUAAAUUGCUAUCUCCACCCAUCAUCACCUAUCAUGCUUUUCAUUUAAUAUCAUUUUCUUCACAGCUUUUCUUCUUUUAUUUCCUCUUCUUUCACAGAUGUUGCAUAGUCUUUUACACACAUGAAGCACAGUCCUAAUAGUUGUAGCUCAAGCAAUGCAUUUCAAGCAACAAAUUUCAACUGAAGAUGUAGGUGCGGAAGAAUAGUACAUUUACGCACUUCAUGGACCAUUCACAAUCCAAGAAAAAAUUUUUUAGGAUGUUCUAAUUAUUAGGUAAGUCCAAACAUACUACAAUUUCAGUGAAUCAAAGGUAAUAACAGCAACUUAUUCUGGAUUCUUUUGUAAAUAGAAUGCUAAUGCAUGCGGGUAUUUUAAGUGGGUGAAACUUGAAACAUGCAAAAAGGAAUGGAAAUUAGAGCAUAUUUUCAUGGCCAAAUGGAAGAAAUAUAGGUAAGGACGAACCAUCUGUAGCAACAAAAUGAGCAGCUACAAAGAGCAUAUGAAAGAGUGAAUGGUGCAAGAGUUUGUAGUAUGCUUCAAAAUGACCAAUUGGUAGCCAAAUGUGAAGAAUUGAAAGCUAUAAUCCAAUCAUUGUAAGAAACCGUGGCCAAAUAUUAAGAAGCUCUUAAAGAAAGAAGAAGAAUCGACUCCAAAGGGAGGAAGCUGCACUUUUUUAUUCUAGUGGUACUUGUUGUAAUGAAAGAAAAGAAAAAGGAACAAGUGUAUCUCCUACCAUGAACACCAUGUAAUAUGAACCUUUAAGUUAGUACAAAAUUAUGGUUUAUUGUAAAAAGCACCACAGUGCUGGUUUCAUGUUAGAAAAAAAAAGCAAUAUGGAAAAAAUAAACAGCAUAACAAUAAAAAGAAUAAAGGCAGAAACUUCAUAAUCCACUCCAUAGUUCAUUAAUGAAAUAUUAUAAAGCAUGUUGUAUAAACCACCAGGAAGAUCAUCUUUCACCGUACUAAUACAAAGUAUCAAAAUAUCAUAUCAUAGUAUUCAACCAAACAAAAAAAGACCAUAACUGUCUAAACCCUUCAAAAGUAUGUAUUCAUUACAAAAGAGAAAUAUAUCCUUUUCGAGCUACAUGAUCAUCCUAAUAGUUAGACAAACCUUCAUUAGGUGAUACCCAAGAGUGUUGAUGCACAUAUGUCCUAGUGCAAGAAAAUCGACUGGAGAACAAAAGAUCACCAAAUCUUGUUGAAUGCCUUUGGAUCUAGUACAAAUGAAAACAAGAUAUUGGUCAAGUAUAUUUACAUUACAUUGCAUGUGAAUUGUAUAUGAACUGUAGUGGUAUGGUACCUUGAUUAGCAUUGGUAUUAGCACUCAAUUGUAAAUCUCCAAUCAGGAGAUUAUUAGUCUACUAAUUAAAUAGGACAUUAGUUUGUUAAAAUGUAGCUGUGAUUAAGCAAAUGUGUACUAAAAUGCAGCUGAAAUACUUACCAUUGGAGCUGUCCAAGUUUCAGUACUAUUUUGAGGCUGCAUGGCCUUUUAAGUCACCUGCCAUUAAUAAGAAAGACAUUAAUACAAGUUAAAAUUGAUGAAAUAAAAACAUACAUAAUGACUAAGAUAAUAUUAGGUCACCACAUCAAUUCAACUAAGUUUCUGCCAUCAGACAUGUUAAUACCAUUCCAAUUUCCAAAUCCAAAAAGUGAUGGAGAACAUCUUGAAAAUGCACCUCUCCUUCUUUUCCCUCUUUCCCCACCUCUAGAUGAUGAUUCCCCUCUCCUAUCAUUACCUCUUUCCCUUUCAUUACCCUUUCCAUUACCUUUUCCGUAACCACUGUCAUUAGCAUGAUUUACUCUUUGUGUUACUAGAUUAAUUGUUUUUAGUCUUCCACCAACAUUUCUUGGUGGGGCUAUACCUCCUCUUCUAUUUGUUUGAGUGGUAGAAUGCUGUCUAGUAGCAUCUUUACCUUACAGAAAUGACCAAACCAAUAAAUAAGCUAAUUAAAAAAAAUAUUAAACAUAAUUUAAGGCAUUAUACACAACCUAUCUUGGUUUCUUGCUUGUCUUCUCAUUGUGACCAGGCUUAUUACAGUUGCUAUAUUGGGCUAUAGUACCUUUUUUGGGUAUCACAUUACCAUUGACAAGCUCAUCUGCACCUUUUCUUUGUAACUUUCUUGGUCUGUUAGGUCUUCUCCUUACUUUUGGUGGCUGAAUAGGUAGUCCACCUGUUUGUAUCCAUAGACUAUCUUCUGGAAUAGGAACCACCAUACUCUUAUAAGCUCUAUUGUAGUACUCUACACUAUAGUAUGAAUGGACAUGGUCUGCUAGUUCUUAAUUAGAAUCUAUAAUUGCUAUACAUACAUGUACACAAGGAAUGCCAGUUAUAUUCCACUCUCUAUAAGUACAAGUUCUUGCAUUCAGGUUAAUAAUUUGUGCCCUACAUAGGAUGCGAUCUCCCAUAUGCCUUGACGAAAUUGAAUAGCUUCAUAUUCCAUUGUUUGUGCCUUAAUUUUCUCCACCUUGUCAUGAAUUCUUGAACAAAAUUUUCCCUUGACCUUAGAUAUGAAUUCUCUCUUUUCUUAGUAUCUACACAUGAUAAGCUUUCUGAUUGUUUCAAACAUAGAUAAAAAUUGGCUCCUCCCUUACCUCCUUAAUAUAUCGAUUAAAGGAUUUACUAACGUUGUUGUUCAAAAGAUCAUACUUUCAUCUUGGAUUGAACAUAUAUUUUUUAUUAGCAACUUGGAGUUCUCUCAUUUUUAUGUCCAACUAUCUGGCUCAUAUGCCCUUAAUAGUAGUCUACAUGAUAUUUUUUAGUGCCUUGUCCUUAAACUUGAGUUUGACAUUGGCAUAUAUAUGCCUAACACAGAACCCAUGUUCCACCCCAGGAAACAACACAUCAAUUGUCUCUACUAGACCUUACAAAAUAGCAACACCAUGGAUCAAAUUAGGUUUAAUUAUACGGCAGUAACAAACUAAUAUGAAUGUUGAAAAAAAUAAAUGGUAAGUUUAUCUUUUGUCUGUCAGAAAUUAAUACACAAUUCAUGACAGUGAACAAAUAUGAGUAGUCAGAAGUUCUAGAAACUAAUGCCAGCUUUCCUUACAUUCAGAUUCCACAUGUGUCAUUACCAUAAGAUACAUCUGAUUGUUUCCAUCUCUCUCAACAGCUUGCAUCAGAUGUCCCCCAAAUCUUCCUUUGAGAUGGCAAGCAUCUAAACCAACAACUAAUCUACAUCCAAUGGUAAAUCCAUUUUUUCGUGCCCUAAACAUAACAAACAUUCUCUAAAAUAAGGAUUGACAGAGACUGGAACAACUUCUAUUAUUACAUAAGCUGUAGAACUAGGGUUUUUCAGCAUAAUGAUUGUACAAUAAUCUCUGAGUCUAGAAUAUUAUUUUUUAUGAUUCCCUCACAUUUCAAAAAGAGCAUGGUUCUUGACUUUAUACACUUUCCAUCUAGAAACUCUUAAUUUAAAAUUUCUUUUAAUCGUUUUUCGAAAUUCCUUAAGUCUCUAGUCCGGAUCAUUAGCCAAUUCCUUUUUGAAGCAUUUGGCCAACCAUCUAGAAUAUGCACUAACAUUCUUAAAAGACUAAGGACACCUAUGAAGGUUGCUCAUUAUGCUCUUGACCUGCAAUGCUUUAGUCUACCUAUAAUAAAUUGCAUAUAUCCUCCAAACACAUUCUCUUUUACAUAUUGCAAUGAUUUUGUUACUAUCAUUUUUUUUCAACUUCAACUCAAAACCUUUAAGGAUGGAAUACAUCUAAAUUGCCUUCCUGAGCAUAUGUGUGGUUGUGAAAAUGAGGCCCACCUUAAUUCAUAUCACUCAAGAAAUUGUUCUCUAUUUUCAUCCUCAGAGGAUUGAAUAGCAGUUUUUAGUACUUUAGCAUUAAUAAUAUUUUCAUACUCCAAAAAUUUACCCUCUUUCCUAAUCUCAACAAAGGGUCUAUACUCAUCACUAAUUAAUUUAGCAUAUUGUUGGUACUCUCCUAAGUUAAUAUUAUUGUCUAUCUCACUAUUAUCAUCACCAAUAUCACAGCCAUCACUUAAUGUGUCCCCAUCUAAGAAAAAAUCAAAAUCUAAGUUAUAUUCAGAAGAUUGCUCACUUUUAGGUGUGUAUGAUUCAUCAAAUUCUAUUUCUGAUUCAUUUAUAUCGUGGUCAACCUCUAAUUCAAGAUUAUCAUUCACCCCACUAGCCCCUAAACCACCAUUACCAUUCUAAGCUCCCUUAUUAGCAUUCAUAUUGACAUUACCUACAGCUCCAUUAUCAUCUUACUUAUCCCCAUUAUCAUUGAUCUCUCUAACACGGAUACGAAUGUAUGAUUCAUCUGUAAACAUCCUAAAGAUUUCCAUAACUGAAGCUUUACUAUUUAAUAAGGCAAAUUCACAAUCUAGCAUUUUAUAACAAACCUUUAUAGGCAAUUGUAGUCCUUUCAACAUCCCCCAAAUCUCAAAUCUAGACAUAAAAUCUGGGUAAAUAUUAUUGAAAUAUUUUAUAUUCCCACCCACAUAUGUUAGUCUUGGAUUAUGUACAAAAUGAACCCUAUAAUGAAUUUCGAAUGAGAACUAGAGCUGUAAAUGAACCGAAUCAAACUGAAUAUCUCAUGUUUAACCUCUGUUCAUUAAACUACUCGAACAAGGCUCAUGUUUGUUUGAUAAUAAUCAAACUCCAAAUCUGUGUUCAUGUUCAACUCGUUAAAUAAAAUAUGUAUUCGAGUUCAAGAUCGAACUCGACUCGUUUAACACAAAUGAGCCGUUCCUGAAUAGGCUUGAGAUGUUCAAAUUCACACCCUUUGUCUCAUAAAAUAGAUACAAUUUGCUUGUCUAUAGUAUUAACUAUUAACUAUUAAUAAAUAACAACAACCUAAAUUCCACUAAUCCAAUCUUGUCAUGCUACAUAAAAUGAAAAUAUGACAUAUAAAUCAUCCUCAUAAACAACUAAAUCACUAAGUCAUUCUCAUGAAUCCCAUCAUUCAUUAACUACAUAACAAUAUAACAUAGAGACAAUUAGCAAAGUAACAAGACAAAGCAAUUUGUCUUCGGAAGACUAAAGUCCAAAUAUCAGUCAAGUACAAUUUAACAACUACUUCAUGUAGUUCAUCCAUCCACUUUAUGCAUCAGUUACAGCAAAGAAAUUUUGGUUGGGCCAACUUCUUUGUACUUGAAAACAAUCAGGUGGAUAGAUGCAUAAGUAUUUUUCCCCCCAAAACUCUACAAAGAAUACAAUGCAUUAGCCAUAAAAGUUGACCAAUCAACAAAGAGAAUGUAGAACAAUCUAGUAGUCUAUAUUGAUAGACUAAUCAAGCAAGUAGUCUAUUUUGAAAUAAUUAGUAUUCAAAAUAACUAUUUAAAGAAAACCACACAUCACAUAUGGAUAUAGAAGAAAUAAAAACAUUGAAAACUUCAAAAUAACCAAUCAAAAGUACUGAAACUUUAGAAUUUAAAAUGAGUACAGUGAACUGCAUGCUUUUAAUUUGGGAGUACAACUUCUUCAUAUGCCUUCAAGUCCUUAACACUCGACGAUUUCUACCAAAAAAAAUUAAAAUUAUAUAAAGAUGGUGGAUUUAUAAAAAUUAGAGAAACAAGGAAACAUAACAUAUAUGACAUAUUACCUUUGAAUAACUUCUUGUAAGUCCAUGUAAAUUUCAAACCCAAUUAUUAGCGCAAAGUAACAUCUGGACUAUGUCAAUGGACAUGAAAGAACAACGAUCAUCAAUGACUCUACCAUUAGCACUAAAAGUAGAUUCUGAAACCACAACAUUUCUGGAAUAGAUAAUAUGUCAACAGCUAGCUUUAAUAACACUCGAAAUCUCUGUCUUUCGUCUCUUCACCAACUCAAGACAUCUAGAUUUACACUUGAAGCACUAUUGUAUCUCUUUUUACUCAAAUAAAUAUUUAAAUUUGAUUAUUUUGGUGAUAUUUUUUCUUUGCUACUCACAUGCAUUUCAAAUUUAACUUUGUCAGUUAACACAUUGUUUCCAAUUUUUUCUACCGCCAUAGAACUGAAACUAAAAGCAUAACUAUUUUUAGUUUUUCUGUGUUUUGGUAGAAGCACUUUUUUAACAAAAGAUGAAGCGAUCGAAGAAGCAUACUCAUUAUAAAGAUCAUGAAAACCUCUUUUAUUUUAGCAAUGUCUCUAAGACCUACUUCAUUACUAUAAAUAAUUGGAAAAGCAUAGUCAAUGAGUACAACUUUAUAUAUUGGAUCUAAAAUAACACUUAAAAAAAAAGUAGAAUAUUACUUUCACCCCAAUAUUUGUCCAAUUUUGAAGCCAUGCUUGCAACCAUGGCUCUAAUGUGGUUAGAAGGAUUCACAAAUUUUUUAUUUAGAAACUCCUUAAUUCCAUAAAGUUCUGGUAGGAAAAUAUUGACAGUUGAAUAUUUACUUCCAGAAAUCAUCCUAGUUAUUUCAUGAAAAUAUCAAAAAAUUGACACACUUCUUCAACUUUCAUCCAAUCAUAUUAACUAAGAACAUAAUGAAAGUCCAGAUCAAUAUCUGUAUAUCUCCAAAACACAUAUUUAAAUUCUAUAACUGAAACCAAUAUCAAACAUGUCCCAUUCCAACGUGUGGGACAAAUCUUGAAUCAAUUUUUUGGAGACAAAUAAAGCUAUUUUUUUUUAUCUUGUUGAAUUCAUUGAGGUGAGACUCUGAAUGUUUAGGUACUCAAUCCCCUCUCCAACAGUAUCAAUCGUUUUUCCUGUUUGACUAAGACAAUCUUGUACCAAAAGAUUAAGUAUAUAUACACAUCAAUGAACAUACAAGUGUUUUCCCUCAACAUUUAAUUGUUUUCUCAACGAAAAGUCUUCUUUUGACCUCCAAACACACACAUCAUUAUACAAAGCAUUAUCCAUGGUAAUGUUACAAAUUUUAUUCUUAAUGCCCUAUUGAAUAAAACACUUGUUAAGAGGAUCAAUUAUAAUAACUCCAAUAUAUGGGAAAAAUUCAAUACAUGCUUUUACCGCACCCAAUUCAAAUCAAUAAAGUAUCCAAUUACGAUCAUAUAUACUGAAUUUUUUAGGUUGAUUUCCAUAAAUCUAUUGUGAUCCCCUUUAGUAAUGAUAUCAACUUCUUCUUUUCCAAUUCAUGAGUAGAAAUGCAGUCUUUCUUCAUAGUUUGUCUACUAAUUUUUAUAUAAUAUGGAGAAGCAACUUUCAUGAACUUGUUAAAAUUUCAUGAUCCAAGGUUGUAAAGGGACAUUCAUAUGCCAAAAUAAUAUGAGAUGUAAGUUCCCAUACCUUAACAUAAUCAUAUCUAAAGUUUGUAAUUGAAAUCAUGCCAUCCAAUGGUGUUUUUGCUGUGAAAGAUAGAACUUUUUGUUGCAUCCUCUUUUUUCCCUCAUCUUCCAGCUUCUUUUGUAGACAAUUCUUCAAAUGCCUAUUGUAAGUAUUUGUGGUACCACUAGUAUUCAUCUUCCAUGCCUUUUUGCAAUGCUUACAUAUUACUUUAAUUCAUCCAUCAGUUUGAGCUUCUCAAUCCAUGUCAUGCCAUAUUUUAUAUUUCAAUGCUCUAGUCUUCUUUUGAAAUGGUUUAGUCAUUUUUUCUUUAUUUUCAGCAAGUAUUUGAAUUUCAACAACUUCAUGCAUCUCAUCACCAACGACAAGCAUCAUACCUUUAUUACUAGGAUCCAUACUAGGACUUGUGGAAGCGCCUUGAUGUGAACUAUAAGGGGAACUUGACGUACCCUACUUGCAAUAGGAAAAGGAAUAAUUAGAAAACUGAAACUACUAAUCAAUGAAAGAUUAAACAAACUAUAUUAGUAUAGCUAAACAAAAAUGAGUAAAUCUUAUAUACACUGAUAGUGUAUACACUAUCACGAUUGGAUGCACGACAUAUAUGCAAAAUUUGAGUUUCAAAUUCAAAUUCGGAUUAUUUAUCAUACAUCUAACGGUGAAAGUGUAUACACUAUUAGUGUAUAAAAGAUUAAUCCAACAAAAAUAUGUACUAUUUACUAACAAAUUAACAAAGAUGCUAUUAACUGAUAAAUAAUAAUGAAUUCGAUAUCUUCUAGCACAACACAAAGAAUUAAACUAUUAAUCACUCCAGAAACUAAAGUUUCAACUUAAAGAUAAAAAUACAUAAUUGAGCUCUCAUUCUAAAGUUCAAGAAAAUACAAAUAAAAAUAUCCACUUACUUGUAUUUUUAACAAAAACCACCUGAGGUCGAAAAUCAGAAGACAUUUGAAUAGGAAAUAACAUAAAUAGUCAACACGUGAGACGUGGUUAGAUCUUCCUCUGAUAAAUGAGACUUUACUAGAUUUUCAGUGUCAAACCUUACUAAACUUUAUAUUUAGGUCCUUACCUAUUAUGAUAUCCCGAAAUUGACUAGAUUUUCACUAUCAAACCUUACUAGACUUUGUAUUUAGGUUCGUCUUCAAUGAAGUUACAAAUUAAUGACAUGAGUUUAUAGGCAACUUGAAUUGCAUGUCUAUCUAACUUAAAAUUUUAAAUUUUCGAAAAUUCUAACAAAAUAGGCAACAAGAAGAAAAUCAUAAUGGGCAAAAGAAUUUACAAGAUUUUUCUGUGGUUCUUAAGCUCAACAAUGAGAAUAAUUUAGUUGUUACCAGCAUCAUAGAGGAUCCAGGAUUUAGUUCUUGAAGUCAAAAGACAUUUGAGAAGAAAAUAACAUAAAUAGUCAAUAUCUAGUUUAGAAAGCAUCCCUAAAAUUAAGACUGGAAAAUCUAAAAUUCAAUGAAUUAGAGCUAAACAAGAUCAAAGUUUUAAGCAAAUAAAAUUAACACACCUUGGAGAGAUAGUCCUAAGCACCUCAGACUCUCAGUGAUGACACUGGUGGCAAUAAGGAUCAUGGCCAUUUGUAGAAGACUAAAAGGAGAAGGUUUGGUGAUGUGAAAUUGAAAGAGAAAUUUAGGAAGGUUUGGUGGUGACGAGACAAUGGUGGUGACGAACUUGACAGUGGUUGAUGGGCAUGUGGUAGUGGUGGCAAGCAGCGUCGGCAAUUAGGAAGAAGUGAAGAUCAGAAACUUUCAACUUUGUGAAGUUGGACUAUACGAGCUAAUAAAGGCUAGAGAAAAGUGGAACAACUGGAAUAGGAUAGGAAUUAGGAUAAAAAUUGUAACAAUACUAACCCUAAAUUUUAUGAAAUGACCAUUAAGCCCAUGUUCACAAACGAUCGUUUAAUCUCGCGAACACGCUCGUGUUCAUUCGAUUACUUAUCAAGUCAAAAUAUUUGUUCAUACUCGAGUCAUAUACAAUUUUGAACGAAUCCUUAUCGAACAUGAACAAGUCUAAGCGAGUCGAGCUAACGAAUAGCUCGGUUUGUUUAACAACUUUAAUGAGAACAUAUCUUUCAACUGCAAUGACCACACUGGUAUGAGACAACAAUAUAAUAAUACAUGUGAGGGACCAUAAAAACACCAUUACUACUUAGUUAACAUAUAGUACUCGGUAAAAUUAGUUUAAAAAUGACCCAUGUUCAACAUAAUAUAAUCUUGUAAAGAAACCUAUGAACAACCAAAUUAUUGCAUGAAAAUGACAAAAAACAAAAAAUGGUCACAAUCAGCCCGGCAGCAGACCAACAUAAGGACCACAUGCAUAAUAUAUUCCACAACGACCAUAGAAAUACACAUUCUAAAACCCAAACUACAAGUACGAACAAGCAGAUCCACACAAAAAGGUAAAAAGUUGAUUAAAGAAAGAAAAAGUAAGGCUUUGCAUAUUACCUGAUUUGCUGAAUUUCUAUAGUGAUUAAGAUUCCACCAUGAUUUAGAUUCUUCAAGGUGUCAUUUUCUCACUUUUGGUGUGCCUCUAUUGUGAUUCCCCUUUGCUUCUUCAUCGAUCGUAAGAAAAAAGCAAAAAUUUUUGCAAACUCAAGAAUGGAGGUUAUGAAGAACUAGUUCUCUCUUUCUUUUACCCUAAUUCUAAACAAAUAUCCUUUUGCAUCUUUCUGCUCCACACGUCACAAUGGGUACCCACCAAAAAUGUGUUUUUGUCCGUUCAAUUAUUACUUGAGGAUACAGUUGUCAUUUCAGUGGUAACGUAUCAGUAGAGUUAGAGUGCAAAGUGCCUAUAAACAUAUUUUGAAGUGUAUUGUGCAACAGCUAUAAAAGUUCAUAGGGACUUUUUGCAUUUAGUCCUUUCUCUUGCUUUUGGAACAGACCCAAAUUUCAAGGUUAGUGAUGCCAUUCUUACAUCCAUUCAACCCAUAUGGGGAGAAAAACUAAUUCUCCAUAGAAGAUAUAACCACAAAAGCUAAUCCUCCAUAGAAGAUAUCUAUGACCAAUAUUGUAGUACUUUUUGUGAUAUAAUAUACAUGAGAAAAAAGAUCGGUUGGGGAUAUAAAAGGUGUUUAAAAAAAUGUGUUUAUGAUAUAAGUAAAAAAAUUUUUGCAAAUAAGGCCCCGUUUGGAAGGUGAGUUUUUUGAGUGUUUGUAUAAAACUUUAUUGUAAAUCACUGUAGAAGUUGUAGAAAAACUUUUGUGAGAUGAAAAAACUUUUUUUCCUUUUCCUUUUCUUUCUUUCUUUUUCUUUUUACUCUUUUUUCUUUCUUUCUUUUUUCUUUUCCUUCCUCCCUUUCCUUUCCCCUUUCCCUCCCCUCUGCCCGCCACCCCUUUCCUCCCCUCUCCCCCACCACCCCUCUGCCUCACCUGCUGCAGCCUUAGUGGAACUGCAACUCCAGCUUUUCCGAUUUCCAAAACUACUACUACUACUACUAGUACUACUACGGAAAUCACUGGGCUCGUGGACAGAAACAGGUUUGAUGGAGCCGCUGCUCCUUUUCUUUUCCUCAUCAUUUGGAGAUGGCAGCUUUAUAGCUGCGGAGCUGCUCCUAUUGUUGCUGUUCAUCUUGAACUUCUUCUUUAUCCUUUCCUCCCUCUCCCCAUCCCCCUUCCCUCGCCCGAAGCAGCAACAGGAAAAUUUUUUUUUCCAAUUUUCCUUCUCUCCUUCUCCUCCCCUUCCCCCACCACCCUCACCCUCCCCCGGUGUGAUCUGGUCUCGCGACCAGAUCGGCUAGAGGGGAAGGGGAAGGGUGGUGGGGAAGGAGAGGGGGAGAGAGAGAGGGAGAAAAAAAAAGAGAGGGGAUCAAAAUCGGACAAAGGGGGAGGAUGGCAGGGGAGGAAGAGGGGGAGAGGGAGGGAGAAAAAAAAAAGAAGAUCGGCACCGGAAGAGGUGAUGGGCGCCGGAACCGGUUGCGGAGGUGGUGACCGGCAACGGAGGUGGUGUUGGGUUGGGGUGGGGGGAGAGAAGAAGAAAGAAAAGGGAAAGGGAUUUUUUUUAGUGUUUUAGAUAAUUUUAAAGUAUGUAGGUUAAAAAUUUUGAUAAGUUUUGGGGUUCCUGUAGUAAAAGUUGUUAAAAAACUAGUAUAAUACAAACUUGGCUUAAAACCAAGGUUCCAAACAGCCCCCUGACAUACAAACAAACCAAGUAUUUGUCUUCACUUUUAUACUAAUUGAGAAAAAAAAGAACAAACUUUACUUUGCAUCCUCGAACUUGUAUCAUUUUCUCAUCUUACACCCUAAACUUCAAUUUUAAAAAACCGUGUACUCUAAAUUCUCAAUUUUGGACAUUUUAUACCUUGAACUCUCAAGUUUGUUCUAUUUAAAACCAGUUAGCAGCAAUUUUUGCAAAAUUAAUCACAUAGAGGUUCCAAUAAAUCAAUAAUAAUGUGCUGAAAGUAAUCAAAAGGUGCUAUGAUAUGAUAACAAAAAUAAAAUAAUAUAUUAUCAUUAAUUUGCACCAUCCUUCAUCUCGUUAAUUUUGCUAACAAUAUUAGUAUUGAGACCAUAUGAAUAAAUGAUAAUAUGCUAAAAAUAGUUCAAAGAGUUAAACAAUCGUAGUUGGAACAAAACGAUACAUUAUUAUUAAAUUUCAUUGCCCUUUAUCACGUUAAUUUUGUGAAUGUAAUCAUUGAUUGGAUUUAAAUGCGACAAAUUUAAGAAUUUAGGGUGCAAAAUAUCUAAAAUUAAAGUUUAGGAUGUAAAGUGAGAAAGUGAUACAAGUUCAAGGGAGCAAAAUAGAAUUAAUCCAAAAAAGGAAAAAACAAAGAUUUUAAAGCUACUUCAUAGUUUGCUUUGUAUUGAAUUACCAAAAACAUUAAACUGAAGAUAGAUUUGAUAAUGUUUUACUCCCUCGAACCGGUCUUCUUAAUUGGAGGAGGGAUGAGUCAAGUGAUUCGAAUGACGGGAGUGUAAGUAAUAGCUUUAGGUUCGAACUUUUUCGCUUAAACUAAAUGAAUAAAUAAAUAAAUAGAACCUCCUUAAUUUUACUUUCCUCACUCAACCCUAUUAACAGAAACUUUUAAUCCCCUUCAAAGAUUACAUCAACAUUUACAAAUACGAAAGAUGACAUGCAUUUGUUUUGGACACAAAUGGCCUUUAUAGAAUUUCGCAUUUGAUAUCUUAUCUUAUUUUAUUUCUAGUCACUUGCCCUAUCAUUUUGAUUAUUUAUAACUUUUAACUAUAUGAAUAUUUUUAGAAUUGUUGCAUUUUCAUUUUGAAAAAUAUUAUUUGCACUCCAAUUUUUGUUAAUCAUACUCUCAUUAUCAUUUUAAUCGUAUAGUUUUUAUUUAUUACAUUAUAUAAUAAAAUAAAUAGUGAGAGUGCAAAUGACAAAAAAUGAAAUGCAAAUAACAUUUUAUUUUAUUUUUUUACAAUUUAUGUACUAUUUUCGAGGAUAUUAUACUUGACAAUGACAAUAACGUCCACUUCUUAAAUUUUACAGCAACAAACUUCCAUUCUUCGAAGAUAUUUCCUCUUUGGAGUGCUUCAAAGUUUCCACACACACAUUCAAGGACAUCGGUAAGCAGAUAAUUCCCAGUUUCCCACCUUUAAAAUUUCUACUACUUAUCAGCUCGUUCUUAAGCAAUUCAACAAAUAUAUAAUAGUCAUGCAAGUUAGUAUAUUUUUGCUAUGAUUUCCCCUGCAUUUCACCACUCUUAUGUUUCUUGAAUUUCGUCUCAUAAUUCCUGUAUGGCUGUGAUUUUGGUCUGCUCCUCAACAAUUUGUUGUAGUAACUUCAGUUGCACAGGUGCAACUGAGGCUAUACCAACUGUUACCAAACCAUACGGUUUAAGUUACAAUGUGCCUUUAGGAGGGACAAAGAUUGGAACUUCGAGACUUUUCCCAUGUGGGUCUAUGUUGAGGUGGAAGAAAAUCAUGAAAAAGCAAGUGGAUUUUGCUGGGUUUGGAAUGAAAAGUUCAUAUGAUGUUGUCGUUGUCAAUGGAAAACCCAAAAAGAGUAUGUCUCCUGAGGAAGUUUUGGCGGUUUUGAAGUCAAAAUCUGACCCAAAUCAAGCCUUUUCUUUCUUCAAAUCCGUUGCUGAAUUGCCUACUGUAGUUCACAAUACAGAGACAUGCAAUUACAUGCUCGAGCUUUUGAGGGUACAUAAAAGGAUAAAUGACAUGGCUGUGGUGUUUGAUUUGAUGCAAAAGCGGAUAAUAUAUAGGAGUUUGAAUACCUACUUGACUAUAUUUAGAAGUCUUAACAUAAUUGGAGGGAUUCGGGAAGUAGUGGUAGCUAUUGAGAGCAUGCGAGAAGCAGGGUUUGUGUUGAAUGCCUACUCGUAUAAUGGAUUGAUACAUUUGGUUCUUAAAGCUGGGUUUUGGAGGGAAGCUUUAUGGGUAUAUAGAAGGAUGGUCUCAGAAGGGCUUAAGCCUAGUCUUAAAACCUACUCAGCACUGAUGGUGGCAUGUGGGAAGCGAAGGGAUACACAAACAGUCAUGAGGUUGUUGGAUGAGAUGGAGAGCUUAAAAUUGAGACCCAAUGUUUAUACUUUCACCAUUUGUAUUAGGGCACUGGGAAGGGCAGGUAAGAUCAAUGAGGCAUAUGGUAUUCUUACAAAAAUGGAUAAGGAGGGUUGUAUGCCUGAUGUAGUGACUUACACAGUUCUUAUUGAUGCUCUUUGUGAUGCUGGAAAGCUUGACAUUGCAAAAGAAGUUUUUGCAAAGAUGAAAUGUGGAAGGCAAAAACCUGAUCAUGUAACUUACAUCACAUUGCUGGAAAAAUUUGCUGAUCAUGCAGACCUGGAAUCUGUUAGGGAAUAUCUGUGUAAAAUGGAAGCUGAUGGUUAUAAAGGGGAUGUUGUUACUUUCACGAUACUUAUUGAUGCCUUGUGCAAAGUGGGAAAUGUUGAUGAAGCAUUUGCCACUUUGGAAACCAUGAAGGAGAAAGGACUAGCCCCUAAUCUACACACUUACAAUACCUUGAUUGGUGGCCUUCUGAGAGAAAAUAGGUCUGAUCAGGCAUUUGAGCUAUUUGGUAGCUUGGAAUCAUUAGGCGUGCAGCAUACUGCAUUCACAUAUAUCCUGUUCAUUGACCACUAUGCAAAAUUAGGUCAAACUGACAAGGCUCUUGAAACUUUUGAGAAGAUGAAAGCUCAUGGAAUUGCUCCAAAUGUUGUCGCUUUCAAUGCAUCUCUGUAUGGCCUUGCAGAAUUGGGUCGGCUUAAGGAGGCAAAAGAUACUUUUAAUGGAAUGAAAAGGAGUGGACUUGUACCUGAUUCCAUCACGUAUAACAUGAUGAUAAAGUGCUUUGCCAAUGCAGGAAAAGUUGAUGAGGCUGUUCAGUUACUGAAUGAGAUGAUUGAGACUGGCUGUGAUCCAGAUGUUAUCAUUGUCAAUUCUUUAAUUGACAUGCUUUACAAGGCUGAUCGUCCAGAUGAGGCGUGGGCAAUGUUCAGACAGCUUGUUCCUUCAGUUGUCACGUACAACACUUUGUUGGCUGGACUGAGAAAGGAGGGCAAGCAUAUAGCAGCUUUUCAGUUAUUCGACAGCAUGAGUGCACGUGGGUGUCCUCCCAAUACAAUAACAUUCAAUACUGUUUUGGAUUGUCAUUGCAAGAAUAAUGAGGUUGACUCAGCUGUGAAGAUAGUUUAUCAAAUGACAGAAGUUAAAUGCUAUCCUGAUGUUUUUACGUACAACACAAUCAUUUCUGGGUUAAUUAAAGAAAACAGGUUGAGGGAAGCAUUCUGGUUCUACCAUCAAAUGAGAAAAGUGUUGUACCCUGACUCUGUAACUUUGUGCACUCUCCUUCCUGGUAUCAUGAAAGAGGGUUUGAUUGAUGAUGCUUUUCACAUUGUCAAGGAUUUUGCUCACCAAGUUGAAAGUACGUUAGACAGAUCUUUCUGGGAAAAUCUAAUGGAAGGAACUAUUUGUGAAGCUGAAUUGCAUUACUGCAUUUCAUUUAUGGAAAAGUUACUUUCUGAUUGUCUGUGCAAAAAUGAAUCGAUCAUGAUACCUAUUAUUAAAUUUCAGUGCAAGCAAAAGAAAGUCCUUGAUGCUCAUAAAUUGUUUUUGAAAGUCAAAAAGUCAUUUGGGAUAUUACCGACACUAGAAAUACAUUGUGUCCUAAUUGAUGGCUUCUUGAAUUUCAUCAUAAAGAAUUGGCUUGGGAACUUUUCAUGGACAUGAAAAAGGCUGGUUGUGCUCCUGAUGUUUCCAUAUACAAUUUGUUGCUUGAUUAUCUUGCGAAGUCAGGAAUGAUUGAUGAACUUUUUGAAUUGUAUGAAGAGAUGCAUCAUAGAGGAUGUACGCCUGAUACCGUAACGCACAACAUACUCAUCUCUGGUCUUGUUAAGGCUGGUGACGUGUACAAGGCCAUAGAUUUAUACUAUGAUAUGGUAAGUGGAGGCUUUUCUCCCACUCCCUGCACAUAUGGUCCUCUUCUAGAUGGUCUUCUCAAACUUGAAGAUUUGGAUGGAGCAAAGAAAUUGCUUGAGGAAAUGAUUGAUUAUGGAUGUCUACCUAACUCUGCUAUAUACAACAUCCUUAUCAAUGGAUUUGGUAAAGCAGGGGAUGUGGAAAAUGCAAUUUCAUAUUUCAAUAGAAUGCUUAGGGAGGGAAUAAGACCUGACUUGAAAUCUUACACCAUUCUUGUUGAUUGUCUUUGCAUAGCUGGAAAGGUGGAAGAUGCAAUUUACUAUUUUGAGGAGUUAAAGUCAUCUGGCCUUGAUCCCGAUUUGGUUUCUUAUAACCUUAUGAUUAACGGACUUGGAAGAUGGGGAAAAAUUCAUGAAGCUUUGGCUCUUUUUAGUGAGAUGCGCAGCAGAGGAAUUUCUCCUAACCUAUAUACCUACAAUUCUCUAAUUCUCAAUCUUGGAGUUCUGGGAAUGUUGGAGGAAGCAGGAAAGAUGUAUGAAGAACUAAAGGUAGCAGGUCUUGAACCGAAUGUUUUCACUUACAAUGCUCUCAUUAGAGGGUAUAGCAUCUCUGGGAACCCUGAUGGAGCAUAUGAAGUCUUUGAGAAGAUGAUGGUUGGGGGAUGUAGCCCUAACAGCGGGACAUUUGCUCAGCUACCUAACUAAGUCCAGAUUACAUGCUUAUAGGCGAUGCUUAUGUAGCUUACUUUUCAUCUCCAUCCCUGGGGACACAGCUGCAAGGUAUUGCGGCUCCUUUGAGUCUCUUUACAUCGUGGCAACCUUUGAUCAGUACACCAACAAGGAAACAAUUAAAAGGACAUUACUUCUUGUGUUCUGAUUGAAUGUAUAGAUAUGUGUACUCUACUUAAGUGAUGUAGUUUGCUAGGUUGACUUCAUCUCAUUUAAAGUUUGUUUUAUCUGUAUACUUGUGUUAUCGAUGCAGGAUUUGAAGAGUAUAUUUGUACAGCUUCUUCCUGGUACAGGAUUUGAAGAGUAUACUUGUACAGGAUUUGAAGAGUAAUUACUGGUUACAAGGGUGUUAUGAUUUCAUCCUGUUGCAGUCAAAUCAUACAGCUUCGUUCUGGCUCUAUUUGUUGAUUCAGCUACAAUGCCUUGAAAGGUUCUACUGCACAGUCAUAACUAUAAAGUUGAUGUACAUUUUGAUGGUUUCUGUCCAUUAUGAAUAACUGAUCCUGUAAAAUAUACACCUUAAUUCUCUGAUGUAAUAUGCAAAAACUGUUUUCUUGUCUAUCUGCAUUUUCAGUCUUAUUUCUAGUAGAUGUACUGGGUUCUGGUUCUUUGUGUCAUAAUCUUCAUAGCCUGAAGAUAUUUGUCCCAGUGAAGUGUGUCCUUGGGCUUUGGUUGAAUAGUGAUAUAGAUCUACACUUGGCUCAUAUUAGCCACUGGAAAAUGAUAGUCAUGAUUUUAAAAAUUAUAGUUUUGUUGCUCAGACUUACAAUCGCUUAAGAAGGUUUUCUCUGCUUUAAAUUUCUUUUGUUGCCCAAAAUUUUUUGCCUAAACUUUUGUUGCCUAAAAUAAUUAAGCAAUUCAUCAAAACGAGAACCCAUGUGGAUCUGAACAAGACUUGCAGACCAAUAACCUAAAUCCAGAAGUUCUUGAAAGAAAAAGAAAAUAAAAUGCGCGUAUAUGUGCUGUCAAGAGUCCUAUGCCAAUCUCUGGUUCCAUUAGAAUAGGCCAGAUAUUUAGAUGUACUUUGUAGUUUGACUUUUCUUCUAUUCUGCCAAUUGAUACGCCAAUACUUCGAGCAUGACAUGAUAUUAUUGUAUUUAUCUGUUGCUUUCAUGAUACAGCUAUUAGCUUGAUGGGACAAAAUGCAGGUAUAAUUUUAUCGCUGCCUGAAAAUAUGAAGAUAGUAAAAUCAUGUUCAAGUAACCUAAAUCACAUGCUCCAGUCGGUGUAUAAUCACAGAGGAAAAUGCACAGUUUUUCACAACCCAAAUCUGUAAUUGUGAUUCAGCAAGAUGAAGUGAAGAAACCAGAACAAAAAUUGAGCUUCUAAGCUCAGUUUCUAUACUUAUAAUAGACGUGGACUCUAUUGGCUUGCUGAAGUGGCAGGAGGGCAACAAAAAAUGGUCACUCGUUCACCCUUCUAUAUGAGUAUAUACUGAAAGCAGAUCAUAUUAAACACACAUUGUUUAUUCUAUUCUCUAUAUUGGGACCCUUUUUCUCAGUGUUGGAACUUCAAAUCCAUAUUUAUGUGUCAGCAUAGAAGGGGCAGGGAGGGAAAUAACACAUUCAGAAUGAUUUCCAUUUUCUGUUGUAUUAUCCUGUCUUCCUGGAAUCUAUGAAGUAUCUUAACGUCAAUAUUUGUUGGCUAAUUUCAUCUGCACAUGUAAUUGAGCUUUUUAUUCAGUUCUCUGCUACUGCUGUACUUAUAGUCUCUUAUUGUUAGUCAAUUUCGUUCAUGCCAUUUACAAGUAACAUACAAAAGUUGACUGAAGAAUGUCUGCUUUCCAGUCCUUGAAAGACUUGGUAGUACUGGCUCAGAUUUCUUUUUCUUCAGUACAUUUUAGCAGGAUACCUGUCGCAUGUAUCGAGUUCUGACAAAGCUGUGGAGACUACUGAUGUCAAAGAUCUCUUCACAGCUCUGACUUGUUAGUUGCGGUUGUGUCUUUUUUCCUUUCUGCUUCUUCCAUGACCAAAGGAAAGCUUGUAAAGGUUGCCGAGAGAGUAUCCUUACCUCUCUCGACUUCAUACAUCUGUAGUCUGGACUUGCUUUCCAGAUUACCAACCUACUUUACCCGUCAUAUAUGGAAACCAACAAUUGCUUUCUAAGUUGAGAGAUGCUUGAUCACUUGGGAAGGAGCUCAAAAAGGCAUAUGAAAGAGAGAGAGAAAGGGCGGAUCUUGUUAUCAUUUCUCUGUGACUUGUAGCAACUUUUUGCUUUGUUAAGGUUAGUGAUGCCCUUUUCAUGUAGGACUGCAUCUUCUUUGGAUGAAUCCAUAUUCAAAACUUCAAGUCCUCGUAAUGAAGAAAUAUUAUUGCAUGUAAUUUGAACUUGGAUUUCCUGAAUGAAGAAUGCAAAGCAAAAGAGAAGGUGGAGGGGAAAUGAUUUCGUUUACAUUGUUUUAUUCUAAAACAUAAGUUCAAGUUUCAGUCAUUUCAAGUUGAGGUAAAAUCCAAGAUAACCAAAAGAUGAUUGAUGUCAGGAUUUAUUCGUUAACUUUUUCAUUUUGCUUAGGAUACGUACUCCCUGAAACUUAUUUUAGCUUAUGAUGCAUAAUCCCUGAAAACCAACAUAAGAAAAUUUUUUUACCUCAGAUCCCAUGUUCAUUUCCAACCAGAAAUCUGUAGAAUUCAUAAUUUCAAACAAGUAUUUAUUCUGCUCGAAGGACUGCAUGGUGACUAACUUUUGCCUUCAAAAAAGAACAUGGAAAUAUUCAAGAAGUUAAUUCUGGUAAGGAGAAAAGGGUUGAGGAGAACUACGUAUUAUCAUUGUAAAUUGCUUUUAUUCUUUUGGUGUGGGAGAGGGGGGGGGGGGGUGGGGGAGGGUUUCCCAUCUUUCCUUCCAAAAAAUGGCAUGACUUUCGCGAUGUUAAUAAGAAGUUCAAAAAUUAAAACCUGCAAAGAUCCCCUCCUAGCAGCUAUCUCUUGAUUCUCCACAUAACAUCUUACAGGUAUCGAAUUAAAUCUUACAUCUGCUAGGAGGAAAGAGACACACACAUAGCGCCAAUUGAAUCAAUGCACUUGAAAGCAUUACAAUGUAGCUCGCAUAAGCUUUUUCAUCUCAUUAAGAAGUAUACCAUCUGAAAAAUAUUUAGGUAAAAAUUACUACAUACUAAUGGCUGGUCAAGCUGAACUCUGUAUAGUCAUGUAUUGCUACAAGAAACAGAUCUAGAGCCAUGAGCAAGAAGCGAUGGCAGUGCCUAAACUGUGAUGACUUUCAUUCGCUUGAUGUGUGGAAGUGUGGAUGUGGAUAUCCAAGCCAAGCAAAAGAUUCCCGUAACAUUGUUAGUAUUCAUUAAAAUGAAUGCCACCAAGUUUCCACACAAUAUAUGUUGUUGCAAACAUCACCGUGCUGAUGAACACAAAUGAAAAGACAAUUAGAAACACAUCAAAUCCCCCAGGAAACUCAAACGUCCAUCCUGGUUUUGGCAUCCCUCUUUUGCUGUCAUCAAAUAAAUUUGGCAGGGGCUUCAGGAAGGCCAGAUCUUUUUCCUUUGUCACUUUCUUAAGAGCAUCAAGCAGUUUGCUUCCUAGCUCUGGCUUGGAUGCCUUGGACUCUGUAUAACGCCUAAGGACCCGAGCUGCCCUAAGUCUCUCUCUUGCGGUUAAUGGAGAUCGUUUGAUGGCUGGCGUUUGAUUAGAUGAAGGUGAUUCUUCUUUAGAGUUUAUGGAAGCUAGCGACCCAUUAUUAACAUCAGAGAGCUUGGGUACUGAACCUCCUUCAGCUUUAGAUUGAAUUUCAUCACCCCUUCCAAAGAAUCCGCGAGUGGGAGAUCUGUGGCAGAGGAUUGUUCAUCUGAAUCUGAUGUAUUAGCAAUAUUAAACUCAUUUUUACCAUUGUCUGUCAUGACACGAUACCAUUUGCAACUGAAGAGAAAGAACCUUCGUUCCAAUUUCGUCAUUAGACUUGGUAGCCCGCCUAUUCUAGAGUAGAUGUCAAACAAGAAGACCUCAUCAUUGAUGUCCUAAACUUCCUUGAGGCACUCGGACAGUUUGCCUGCAACUUGUCUUUGUUAAGAGCCAACAUGCAACAAUGUCCCAGAAAGGACUUAAUGAGAAAACAAGCAAAUUAAUCAGACGAGAUCAUGAACCAGCACAAAGAAUGAUGAACAGAUAAUCAUUUUUAACUUUCAAGAGCAGUUGAGAAUCUCCAGAAAUAUCCCUGGAUAUCAUCAAAUCCUUCAAAUUAUAGAUUGUUAAGCCACAUAACAACAGUAGCUCUAUCUUCGAUUGCUAAUGCAUCAAAUUUACAACUACUUAUUCAGAUAAGGCAUACUACAAAAAUGUCUUAAUUCUUUCCCUGGAACAUGCAACAAAAACGUAGCAUGCCCAAAUUUCAUAGACAGGCAAACUUUCUACUGCAGAGUUAACCCCAAAAUGGGUCAGCUAGAACAAAGUUAGAUUAAGAUAGAACCAAUUUAAGAAAUUCAUACCUGAGGCUUCUUUCAUUAGACAGGAUCAAUUUCACAUACCUAAGAAUCAACUUACUGAGAAUUCAAGUCUUUAUGUUAAUUAAGCCAGAUGGCAAAUUAAUAUUACCUUUGAACACAAAUUUACCAAGAAGCAAUAAAAGUACAAAGAAGCACUUGGACGAGAUAAUGGCCUAUAAUUGGCAAUGAUUGUCAAACAAGCGCUUCAGUCAAGAGUUGAACUUGUCUUCAAUAACCUUAUACAUGUUCAAAUAUAUCUCAAAUACUGUACUUAGCAAAUGAAAAUCAAGAUGAAACUCUGCAGCAAUAGAUCUAAGAGGUCCACCGAUUGCCUAUAAUAUGCAAUCCCAAAAAAAAAAAAAGCAUCACAAAUUGAAACCAAUGCUAUCAAAAAGAACACUAAUCAACAACCAAAGAGUGACCUAAGCAAACCAUCUAGGAAACAAACAAUAAAGUACAGUAUUUGAUAUAUCAGUAACAGAUCACCGAACACUUGUUAAGGUUAAAGAGGUCUCAAGUAAAAUUGGGACAAUAAAGUAGAUGCUUCACUAACCUUCAAAAGAAACUCAAACAACAGUCAUGCAACCAAUAAAGAUCCACCUGAAAUAUAGUGAAACAUAUGUACAUAAACUAUUAAGGACAUAUUCUGGCACCCCGAUUGUGUGUAUUUGAAAUAGAGCUGACCUGCAAAUUGAAUAAUUCGGUGCUCAAGUUCUGAGCAUUUGAUAGAAUGUGAAUCACUUGAAGCCCCAUAUCUCAGAUGAACCUUGCCAAACAUACAAGAUAUGAACAGCAGCAAUCCUGUACAUGGACAAAGGAUGAAUAAGUAGAAGUGAAGACAUGGUUCCACCAAUGUCACAAAUCUGAAACUUUAGGAGGCCAUAAGUACAAAACAAACAAAAAUCCUUCAAUAAACUGUUCCCAAAAAGUGGAAUCUAUUAAAUGAAAAGUUGAAAAACUGUUCCAACUCUAUAAACAAAGUAAGUGACCAUAGUAGGAAGGAGAUGGAGCUUUAAACCAAACAAACAAGAAAACUUCAAUAGACAGACAAAAUCACUUAAGCAGGCUAGUUUGUUUGCAAGAAGAAACAAGAAUGAAUAAAGGUUGAUAUCAAUACCAUUUCCAGUUCACUCAAGGAAAAAACUGAAUCCUCCACCCUUUUUUUUUGGUCAGAAACAUGCUAAAUGAUUAGCUAUACAUUAUUAGGUAAUGCUACUUUUCAAAGUUAAAAAAAAAGAUAGAGGUCAAAACAUCCCAUCUCUCCAUCAGUCAUCAGCACCGACUUGAUAGAUAUAUAUAUGAACACUACAUUAGAACUGAACCCAAAAUCCCAUUUUCCUAUCAAGUAUCAAGAAUUCAUUUGCCAAGUAAAUGACAAAAGUAAAAAAAUAAAUUCAAAAUCUUCAUAGCAUAUAGAAACUUAGCAAAGACACAACAUUGACACACUAUAAAUCAUCUGGCCAAGAAUCUCGCAAAAGAGAAGUUUAAAAAAAAAAAAAGCAACAGGAAAAAAAAUGACAAGAAAAAAACUAACCAAGAAAUGCAAGUUUGAGAGGGGGUGGCAGCACCAGGGGAAGCUGGAAGUUGCUCCCUGGAACUGGCUGGUGCAUGAAAGACUCUUCCCCCUUCGCUCCCUCUGAGCCCUUGGCGGGAGCGUGUUAGGGGUAUAAUAGAUAAGGGGGGCUGGACAACCACAGUUUAGUGGUCAGAAAUUAGCCUGUCUCGACAAUAGGGGAGGAACAAUCACAGUAGGCAAAAUGAAUGUAUUCAUCGCUCGCUUUUUCAAGUACUUAUUUCCCUUUCCACGUUCAAAUCAAUGCAAAAUUACCCCUUACAUUCUUUAAAAUGUAACAAUUUAAAUUACCUAUUUUGUGCUUUAAAAUUUUGAAAAUUUUUUCUAUCUUUUAUAUUUAAAACGAUGUAUCAUCAUCACUUCUGAUAUCUUGAAAAUGUACAAGUUUCAUUCUAAAGUAAUUGUAAUAAAAUUUUGGGUUAAUUAUAGUUAAUCCCCUUAAGGUAUACCCUAUUUCUCACUUUACUCCUUAAUCUUUAAUUUUUGUCACAUAACCCCCUGUAGAACAAAAUAAGUCUUCCAUUAUUUUGACUUUUCAUUUAGGAAAAAAAGUCUCAAUGACCCUCCAACUUUUAUUCAAAUAAAGUUUUAGCCCUCUAUCAAUAAAAAGGAAAGUUUUGGUUUUCGAUCUAACAAAAAAGCAUGUUUGUGGCCUUUUUAUUAAGUCGGGUAGUUAAGAUUGACGGAAACCAUUGUUAUGUGAGAAACACGAUCAAAUAUCAAGGACAUUAUAGUCUAUGCAGGAGCGUUUACAGAGUAAAAAGGCAGUAAAAGUACUUUGACCAUGGAAAAUCGCACAAUUCCCACCCCUUUUGCUUCAAAACCCUAAUGUGAAAAAUCAAACAAGAAGAUCCAAGUGCAGCAAAAAAGUGAUUAUGGCCGGAGUGGCUGUGAAGAUGUAAAUGGAGUGGCAAAUGCAGAGGAGAUAUGACUACUUUGAUAUAUAUCUCGUUUACGGUAAUUCAAAAUCGUGUUUACUAAUCCAUUUGUGUAUAAGAUUUGUUUAUAUGCAUGUGUAAUUGAAGGGAAAUAAGAUUUGUUUAUAUGUUUGGGUAUGGUGAUAUUGGGAAGCUAGGUGGUCCAAUCUGGGGGUUCCAUAGUAGAAAUUAGCAUUCAAAGUUGUAUUCCUACCUUGUUUAUUGGAAAUUGACCAUGUCAGACAAAAGGGGUUGUAUAGAAAGUUAUAUAUUUUAAUGGCUGAAAAGUGACGACUUUAUUUCUUUAGGGUCUUUAUUUUGGCUGAAUUUGACUAAUUGACUAUUUCAUUCGUGAGUUUUUAUGUGUUUUUUUCCCUGUGUUGUUGACCAUUUUAUCCCAAUUGCCAUUAUAGAGCCAGAUUCUGAAUUGUUUAUUAGUCAAAUACAUCAUGGGGUAGAAUUCUGUGGAAACACUAUGUAUGGUGUGCUAACAGAGAGGUAGACUAUGUAGAUGUUUGUGAUGCUGAAAGAAAGUUAACAGUUGAACUAAACAAAAUGGUAAAGAAUUUAGGACAUGGUAGAGUUGCCAUAAUGUACCACUACCUUGAACCAAACAAGGAUCUAGCAAAUGGUUUAAGAGAGUUGUACACCACUGAUAAUGUUAACAAACUUUGUGCCUGGGCUUAUAAGUACAAGGUCAUGGAAGUCUAUUGUAACCACCAAACAGCUGAAGAAAUUAAUAGUUACAAGUCUCCCUUAGUGGUGAAACUAGCACAGAAGAAGAAGUGUUGUGUUUUGAUUUUAGGGUUGGAUGAAAAGGGAAGUAUAGUAGGGGAACCAUCUUCUCAUGUAGUUCCUAAAAGGAGGCUAUUCAUUAAGGACUCAAGUAGAGGACAAAGUAAUGGUAGAAGAGUAUCCAAGAACCAGCAGCAUGUAGGAGGCUCAAGUGGUGGACAAAGUAGUGAUGCACAAGCAGCUAACAACCAGCAGCAGCACAUAGGAGGUUCAAGUGGUGGUCAAAAGAGUGAUGCACACGUAUCUAACAACCAGUAGCAGCAUGUAGGAGGCUUAGGUGGUGGACAAAGUAGUGAUGCACAAGCAUCUAACAACCAGCAACAGUACAUAGGUGGCUCAAGUGGUGGACAAAGUGGUGAUGCACAAGCAACUAACAACCAGCAGCAUGUUGGUGAGACAGAUCCACAAUAAGACAGAUACACAAUAAGAAGGAAGGAGCAAUCAGCAGCUAUUGAAAAUGAAGGACAAGAUGGAGAUGAUGAAGAUUCUGGAUCAAAAAAUAACUGUGACAGAUUUAAUGGUGAUGUAGACUAUUGUGGAGAUGAGGCACCACUGCUUGAUGAUUUGACAUUUGAGCUAACCCAAUGUACAAGCACAUUAGAAGAAGAGCAAACUAAAAGACCUUCACAGCAAGGAAGAACUUCAACUCAAUAGGCUACCACUGAACAGGUUCAAACACAAGAGUCAUCGCAACAGCAGAAUCAGCCCAAUGCAUAGCAGCAUCAAACACAACACAAAGAAACAAGUAAGGAGAAGGAGAAAUACACAACAGCAAUAGCAAACCCAAGAAGGAUUUGAAACAUAUGCAUUAAUUGGGAGAGAUAUAAUCCAGAUCAUCUAAGUAGUGAUGAUAAUUCAUCAGAAGAAGAUCAAGAAGUUGAUCAAUUUGCUGGGGGUAUAAAGAUGUUUCAUGGGAAAAUUUAGAAUUGGUACCAGGUUCGAGUUAGGGUUGAAAUUUGAGGAAGGCUACUAUCUAGAAAUAUGGUAUUAAGAUAGGAAAGCCAGUAUAUACAAAGAAAAAUGAACCAAGAGGGAGAGAGACAGGUGUAAAGAUCCAUGGCCAUGGUAUGUGUUUGUCUUAGUUGAAAAGGCACUUGGCACGGCAGAUUUGCUAGUGAAGACCAUGUAUGACAAGCUUAAAAACUGCAAUCAUGCUGGAAAAAUGAAAAUUUGAAAGCCAAUUGGUUGUCAAACAGGUAUAUGGAGAGGAUUAGAUCAAAUAUUCGUAUGCCAACCGAGAGAUUAGACAAAGUGUAAGUGAGGGGUACAAUACAUAGAUUUCUAAAUCGGUGGCUUUAAUGCAAGAAAAAUGGCUCCCAAAAUGAUACAGGGAUUGGUUGCAAAAAAAAUGGCUUCCAAAAUGACACAAGGAUCGACUAAAAACAAUACAAGAAAAUUUGGGAGUAUUGUGUUGAGAUAAAGAAAACUCAUGAAGAAAGUACAAUGGAAGUAAUGUUUACUCCAAUUAGAGAACUUGGGGUAAUUCAAAAUUCAUGAGGUUGUACUACUGGUUAGGGCCAUUGAAGAAAGGAUUCAAGGAUGGCUGUAGGCCAAUAAUAGGCCUAAAUGGUUGCCAUUUAAAAGGGAUAUAUAGAGGGUAGUUAUUAACUGUCAUUGCUACAAUUCGAAUAAUGGGUGAUGGCCCAUUGCAUGGGCAUUGUAGAGAGAGAGAGGCAACUAAGCAUUGGGCUUAGUUUUUGAAAUAUUUAAGUAAGGACUUGAAAAUCAAAAACCAAGUUCCACUAUAACUUUAUAUCAAAUCAGCAAAAGGUAUGGAUAUUAGCAAUUGCUUAAGCUUUUAACUUUUUCCUUAAAAUUUGUAAAACUAACAAUUUAUUGAAAUUCCAUUGCAAGGGCUAGACAGGGCACUAACAAAAUUCGUCCAAACUGUAAGCACAAGUACUUUGUUAAACUUUCAAAUUUAUAUAUUUUUAUCAAGAUUUUUCUAUUAUACUUUGUAAAUUUUUUUAUUUAACUUUGUGGAACUUUGUGAGGAUAGAUAUUAUGUCCAACGUAUUUUCGCAAUUUCAAGAAAACACAUCCAGGUUUGGCAGGCAAAAAGAGGUUGUGGAAUAUAGUAUGUUGCACAACAAUGGAGCUAUACAAAAACUAUGGAAGAACUUCAAACUUUUGAUAAGGAGGCAUAUGAAUGGGUCAAAAAGCUCCUCAUACUUGAUAUUGGUGCAAGGCAUACUUUCCAACUCACACAAAGAGUGACACGAUAGUGAACAAUUUAUGUGAGUCCUUUAAUGCUCAUAUUAUUGAUUCUAGAGACCAAUCUAUCAUCACAAUAUUGGAAAUGAUAAGGAGUAUCUUAUGCAGAGGAUAUAGAGAAAAAGAGCUGCAAUGGAAAAAUAUAAGGGGCCCACUGGACCUUUGAUUUCUAAAAUAGUUGAGAAUAGGGUCAAACAUUCAAGUCAGUGGAUGCCAAUUUGGAAUGCACUACAUGACUACCAAGUCAAGGGUCCAAAAGGGGCCCAAUUUGUAGUAGAUAUGCAAAAAAACUAUUGCACUUACAAGUUAUGGGAGGUUAGUGGAAUUCCAUGCUAUCAUGCUGCCACCUUAUGGGAGAAGAGGUUCCUCACAAGUACCUGGAUGGUUGUUAUAGCAUGGGGUUUUUCUUUAAGAUUUAUGAGAACGUGUUGCAUCCAAUUAGUGAUGAGGAUCAUUGGCUCCCAUCCAUCACGAUUGUAUUGGAUCCACCAACUCAACCUGGUAAGCCUAAAAAAACCAGGAGAAGGGAUGCAACUGAGGGGAGAGAUCAUGGUAGAAGAUUGAUGAGGAACAUUGUCAUUCGCUAUAGAAAAUGUGGUAAGGUUUGACAUAAUGUAGCUACGUGCAAGAAGCCUCCCAAUGAAGAAGGUCAAGAAGGUGCUAACAGGUCAUCCGAGCUUAUUGGUGACAAGCAGUAAAAGCAGCAACCAACCAAAAAAAGGACUACAGUGAGUGUAUCAUAUCUGUUGAUUUUUCACUAUUAUCCUUAGUCAUGGACUUACAUAUAUCUAUUUACAAAUUGGUAGGAACCAACAACCAAACCACUUUUCUCAAAUUUUGCAACAAAUAGAGUAGUCUUCUCAAAUUUUGCAACAAACAAAGCAGUUCUCUUAAAUUUUGCAGCAAGAACCUCAACAAGAUCAUGAUGAAGCUGGGCAACAACAAUCACAAUAAGGCCAACAACAAUCUCAUCCAUAGCAGCAACCAUCUAGAAAACCUCAACUAGAAAGCCACUUACUGAUGCAGAAAAGGAAACCAUCAAUGCUAACUAUGCUUAUUUGGGUAAAGAACCUCUAUUCAUAGUUGGCAACUGGAGGGAGAAAUGGAGUGGAAGAGGCAGGGCCAGAGGAAGACAAGCUGGAAAAGGAAUAGAAAGAGGAAUAGCUAUUGGAGGGGAACUCAGCCAAGAUAUUUCAUCUAGAGAGCAGUAUUCAUGGACACUUUUUGACUGACUCUUUUUGUCUUAUGUUGUGUAAACUUAUGGUGACUAUUCAUGACCAUAUGGGAACAUGUUUUUAUGUCUAGUAGUUUCUUUUUGUGUCCAGUAUUUCCUUGUUAGUGACUUACUGAUUUUGUUUUGGAUUGUAACCAACUUUUGAUACUUAGAAAUGUAUGGACAUGUCUAGUUAAUACGAUACAACGGUUUUUAUCUACUUCAUCUUAUUGCACUAUUUUUAUGAUAUUUUUCUAGCUACGAUAAAAAAUCAAUUCAUUGAGUUGAGUAAAUAAACUGCAACAUUUUCAAUUAAGAAGAAAAGACAGGAAGAUAUUUCAUUCAGGCAACCAAAAACACACAUUUCAUUACAAACUUUGCGAAUACAUCAUACAAUUAUAAGGAAAAAAAUUUACAUAACAAGGACCAAUUUGGUUCAUCUUCUUCACAUAGAAAUUCAAUUCAACUUGGUUCAUCUUCUUCACAAGCAACCUUCUAUUUGCUGAAAACUAGCAAGGUUUCCACUUGUUUGGCUCCAAAAGUCAGCAUCGUGUUAAAAAAAACAAUCUUAAUAGCAACUUGUUGACCGAUUUCUUGCAGCAGAUUUUUUUCCAAUUCUUUCACUUUCUCCCUCAACUUUGCUACUUUCCUUUCAUUUCUUCUUGCUAUUUCUUCAUAUGCACCUCCGUCCUUUUCAACUGCAUUAAUCCUUCGAAGAAGAUCAGGUAUAAUCACCGCCAAUUGGUAGCAUAUCUCUCGUCGAUCCAUGCCCAAUAUAUGCAACAACAGUCCAUGCACACAGCAAACUUGCAAUCAGGAUUCCUUGAGGUCCACGAAGUUAUCACCCUGGUCUCUUGUCACAUCUAUACACGAGGAGAGGGACACUAUUCAAUCUUCACAUUUUUAACUCUAGUUUUAACAGCAAUGAAGAUUUUUCUUACUCUAAUAUAACUAGGGAUUGAAGGUAAGGGAAGAAACUGCCUUUUUACUUAGUAAAUGCUCCUACACAGACUAUAAUGCCCUUGAUAUUCGACCGUGCGUCUCGAAUGAUGAUUCUCUCUGUUGAUCUUAAUUGCUUGGCUUGACAAAAAUGCCAUGAAUAUGCUCUUUUGUUAAAUCGAGGGUCAAAACUUUUAGUUGUUGAGGCUAAAACUUUACUUAGAUAAAGUUGGAGGACCAUUGGGACUUUUUUACCUUUCAUUUAUUCUUUUUCCUUACUUUAUUUCUUUUUCCUUACUUUAUUUCUUUUUCUCUUUCAUUUUUCUUCUCUCUUCCGUCCUUCCUAAUAGAAAACUUCAUCUCAAUAGAAAACUUUAUUUGGAUUUUAUAAUUGGGUUUAUGGUGAAGCUUGGAAAAUGCAUCAAAAGUUAAUUUCAAUCUUUUGUACAAUGCCAUGUGCUGCGGAUUCAAUUAAUAAUCAUUAAUGAAGGGGGAAAAAGCAAAAGACUUGAAAAGUAGAAAAAAAAACUAUUUUAGAGAAGGGUCUUGCAUACUUAAUGACCAUUUGAGAUGAAGUUUUUUUUAGGAAAGAGGAAGAAGUAAAAAAAGAACAAAGAGACACAGAAAAUAAUGAGAGAAAGGGGAAAGAAAAAAAUACAAAAGAGAGAAAAAACAAAAAAAAUGAAUUUAGAAUAAAGAGAGGUAAUUUUGUCCAAUAGGGGAUAAAAUGAGACAAAAAAAGUGGCGGUAAGGUGAAAAAUAGGGUAUACAUUAAGCGAUUAAUUGUGAUUAACCAUUAAAAUAAUGUAGACGUAGCUAUGGCAUGUCAAUCUCAGCUAAAUCUUUUUUCUCCUUUUAUGUAGCAUGUAUUUGUCAUUUCAUAUCAUAUCUAAGGGCAAAUUUAUCUGGAUUUGAGGACAUGAUUACAAUUAUUCAUAUUAGUCAAAAAUGUAUUAAUUAGUGAAGCAAAAGAUUUAGUUUGUUCUUUACUUUUGCAUCAUUUGGUUGACUAAUAGUUCUAAUGUGACAUAGAACUGGCAAGGGUGUAGGAUUCUCAUGUUCAAAAGUUGACUAAGAUUUGGUUUUGGGACAAAAAUGCAUUUUCAACAUCUUAGGGACUUAUGCAUCCUUUUAAAUGUAGGAUAUGAAAGUUUUUUUUUUUUUUUUGAAAAUGGGAGGGAUAAAAUUGGUCAAUUUUGGAAUAAUUUUAUCUUUCCUUUUUACCCCUAAUACAAUAAGUAUGUUAGCUAUUAGCUAAAAAGUUGAUCAACAUUAGGGUUUGGGACAACAUAUUGGUAUGUUUUUCAAAAUAUAAAGGAUGAUUUUGCAUUGUUUUAAAUAUGGAGAGCCAAAAAUUAUGUACUAAAAAAGUAAAGGACGACUUGGAUUAUCUUUCCGACGUAAACACUAAUCACCAAUAUUUUAAAACUUGGAUUGGACAAUCACUGGGGUGAAUACGGUAGUUAAGGUCAAUGAGUUGGUAAAAAUUCAGUGAACUUGAUGACAUGGUAUAGUAUUUAAUAUUUUAGUCAUACAUAAAAUAAAAAAGCAUUCAAAAAUAUCUCUGAAGAUAUCUCUUUUUUUAUACAUAUAUAAAUAGAAAAGCAUUCAAAACCACCCACUUAUAAUUUUUAAAUAUAUCUCUUGUUGUUUAUAGACUUUAAGUAAACAAUAACAAAUUUAUAACUAAAUUCAUUAUUUAUGUCAUGUCCAAAACCUACUUAGUAGAAAAACAGGACAAGUGAUCACACAGUAAAUGAUUUGACACUUUUAAGUCAUCUCCUUUCUUCUUUUUGCUUUUUCCUUUAUAAGAUUUAGAGUUUCCCUUGAAUAAAAAACUCAUUAAACUUAUUUGACAAAAUAUGGAAAUUUAUAAAAAAAAUUGAGAUUAAAAAAUUUCACGAGAGUAUUUAUAGUUGUCCAAAUUAUCCAAAAAUAAAAAGGAAUACUAUAAAAGUUUCGAGUAUCAAACUCAAGUCAAGAGAAUUUAAGGAAAACAUUAAAACAAGUCAAAAAAGAAACAAAAAACAGUGCACCAAAAAAUGAAAAAAAAAAAAACCCUUUUCCUAAUUUUCUUUUUCUGGUCAAAUCCGAUUUUUGACAUCAAGGCACAACAUCUAUACACUGGGCAUGUAAAAAUCCCCCGGACCUUAGCCAUAUAAUUUCCUGCAAGGUGUUUAACUAAAAUGCUGAAUGGAUAUGUGCAGCAUGGUACUCAUUUUACUUUCAUAGUAUCUAUCAAGCUGUGUCCAAGUAGUAUCUUCCAACAAUAGAUACUAGCACCAUAAACUCAUAAUAUCAAAAUCUCAUAUCUCCAAGGUUGACUUGCCAACUUUAAUCCGGUCUUCAUCGAGAAUUCCAUUUUGUAAAGCCAGGAAAGGACAGAUAGCUCUUAUAUUCCAGGCAAAGAAACAGAUCAUAUCAGAACUGUAUCACUCGUGUUCAAACUUGUGUCAAUCCUCUAUACAUUUUCUUCUUCUCAACGAUCAAGUUUCAAUUGGGUAAUGCACAAAGAAGAGCACAGAAAGCAUAUUCUGCAUGUCCCUUUUCAGCACUGGCAAAAAUCAUUUACAAGUUACAGACUAAAGUUUCUGAAGAAUGAUCAGAGGUUUCAAACCAACGAAAACAGAAUUGCAGCCAUUAACUCGAUCCACUCUGCGCUGGUUGUGAUUCAGUGCCAACUUCCUCAGGAGCCAAGGAAUUUUCAGAUGAAGGUUGUGAUUCAGUGCUAACUUCCUCAGGAGCCUUUUCAGCUGCUGGUUCAUCUGAUUCGACUGAUUUCUUGAAUUGCACUAAUAUCAUUGUCAUGUUAUCACAUCCUUCACCUCCAGCUGUAGAUGGCGCAAGACACCUAUCAAGUACCCUUUCACAUACCACGGAAAGCUUUGUCUC